rnacentral:lncRNA from 1 species
AUUUAAAUUUUUUUUUUCUUCAAGAGAACUCUCCCUCUCAUAUAUUUUCUUUAUGGCAAAAAUUUUAUUUGGAUUCACCCAAGAUCUGCCUUUGACCUUGGAGGUUCUUGCUUUCUUUAGGACUCAAGACAAAAUGGUUUUCAUUUGGGAAAAUAACUUUUGAAAACCUUUUCUUGAAUUUGCACUAUGGCUUUUGGAAAGUCUUUUGCCACUUUCAACAAUUCCUCUUUGCCAUGGCCCAAGUGCAAAUGAUCUCUCCUAACUCAUCCCUCACCUCUGGAUCAUGAUUUACAUCAAAUCCAGCAAGUUGGACCUCCCCAUGUAUUUAUUUUCCAUUCAAAUUCUAUUCAAAUAUUUUCUGCCUUCUAUUCUACCACUUGGAGAUUUACAAAGGAACUCCUCUUUCUGUUUUGAUUUUUGGCCCCAAACUUCUUUCCCCUCCUAGUCCUUUGAACCCUCAACCUAGAACCAUGAAGAUCCACUGGUCUCCAGUUCAAAAUUUUCAAACUACAUCAGCUGCAACUUUGGACCAGAUUUGCCAAAUUUGGUGAAAUUCAUUCAAAACUUUCUCCAAAAAUUCCAAGUAAAUUCAUGCAGCCCCUGGGUGCUUUGAGUGAUCAUCUCACCAAGUUACAGCUCCAGCAAAAUUCAUCUCUUUACCAAAACCUACUGUCGAACACCUGCAAUGCUUGGUCACUGUCAAAGUUCAGUAAACUUCAGAGUUCAGUCAGUGCUCACUGUCGUUUUCUUCAGAACGUGACAUCGAUCUCACCAGUGCCAUCGCGUCGCCUUGCUCCUCGUCCUCGCCCUCUCGUUCCUGCACCGCACGAGUGCCUGGCAUCUUGCGGGCGUCGGCGACGAGCAGCAGAAGGUGCGCCGCCCCGUGACCGACGCCGGCGGUGGCUUUGCGGACGCCAGCGGGAGACACGGCGCCGCCGACUCCACCCAGCGCCGCCCAAACCACCGGAGCCCGCCGCGUGGCCGUCCACUCCCCCGAAUGCGCUGCCGCUCUCGUCGUGAACCCCAGGGCGCGGAGCGCGCUCUCUGCCGCCGUUGAGCUCGUGCGGUCACCUCACCGUGGACAGACGCCGUUACGCCAAGACUAACCACGUUCAGCUGCAAAUCAAGUCCAGCAACAUCCACUGAUGCUUCUCGACCGCUGAAACCCCCUGCCAACCCACUGCUCCGCCGUAAUCGUUCGCCGGAGGUUCUCCGUUCACGGCCAUCCCGUCGAGCUGCCUAUAAAUAGGGGCCCCGAGCUUCAACUCGAGCACCCACCAGCCCUACACUUCCCCUAGAGCACGCCCAGCCACUGGAAGAGCCGCGAGGGGGUCUCCUUCCUCGACUCCGGCCACCGUGAUCCGCCACGGGAUCCAGCCCGAUUCGCCCCCGUGUGUGCUCCGCAACCCCCAUUCUCUUGCCAGUAGCUUCUCCUUGCAUCACCCGUUCUGACCCGCGCCUCAAUUCGUACUUUGCAGCCCUCCACCGGAGUUCCCCAACCUCACCCGAACCGCCGUCCGCCGGAGAUAGUGUCGCCGUCGAUGUGGUGCUCCCCGUUGGACGAGUCCACCACCCACCGACGCGGAAGAAGACACUGAAGCUCUUGGUACCCUCCGUUUCUCCUAACUCGUCGUGGUUCGACGCCGGCGUCCACCGCCGUCUUCGGGCGCCGGCGAGCUUUCAAACCUGACAUGCGGGCCCCGCGUGUCAGCCUCUGUUUUAUUUCCCCGAAUCGUUUUCUGUUGGCGCCUUCGGGCAAAUUACGUCUUCUCUCUUGCGCUUGCGCAUUUCCAAACGAACCGUUUUCUGUUUUCUCAGUUAAAACCCUGGAACUUUUCUGUUUCAUUACAGAAAGGUCCCUGGACAGAAACCUUUAUAACUUUUUAAUGAAAAGGUAUUUUUGAGUGAUUCUUUUUCUGUCCAUCUCCAAAUUUUGUCUAGUUUUUUAUGGGAUUUAUUUGAAAAAUAUUUGGCAAAUUUUCUGUGCAUGUGUUGGUUUUCACGUUAGUACCCCGUUUCGUGAUUGCCGUAGGUUCCGGGAGAGGGGACGGAGCCGCGAACUUCGCCGAGCUAGACUCCGACUUCUCCGAACCAGGCAAGCAUGUUUGAACAUUUGAUAUGGCAGAUGUCUUGCAUGUUCAUGUGAAAGUUUGUGCGUGGCAUGUGAGUGUCGAUAAGUACCUCGUUGCUUGUAAGGCAACGACCCGGUUGUUCCGAAGUUGCGAUGACCUCUGAUGAGAGGUGGCCUAAUCAUGUAGUGACAUGAAGGGCAGCAAGGUGGUACUGUUGUAGCAUGCCAGCCUUGCGUCACCCGACUCUCUUCGACGUUAACGUGGUUGGAGCCACGUUAUCGAUCUUUUCCCGCAUGUUCCAAAGUUGCGAUGACCUCUGAUGAGAGGUGGCCUAAUCAUGUGGUGACAUGAAGGGCAGCAAGGUGGUACAGUUGUAGCAUGCCAGCCUUGUGUCAUCCGACUUUAUCGACGUUAACAUGGUUGGAGCCGUGUUAUCGUCCCUUCCCCUUUCCGUGCUACCACAUGUCUCAUUGCCAGGAUACGGUUUAGUAAGUUGGUAACCUCUUUCCGUGUACACACCAAACAGAGAGGCCGGGAUGAUGGUACCUUGGCCUAGGAUUAAAGCCAGUCAUUCGGUCAGGGGGCAUGGGUGUUUCCGGUUGGGACCGAGAGGGGGGGCACCCCCUUAUAGCGCGCGUAUAGAAAUUUGAUCCCAUGCUACGCGAGGUUGUAGCCUCCCCGACUCAGGGUUUUUCCUGAAUGUUGCCGAGGGUGAUCCCUGGCUUCGGAUGGUUAAAUUGGGUGUGUACUGGUUAGACGUGUUCCUUCCAGAACACCGUAGACGGAACUACUCCCCGUGACUACUGAAAUCCGUUGGUUGUGGUUAAGUACAAACUCUGCAGAGUCAAUUCUUUCCAAAUCAUCGUAUCCAUAGUCAGAAAUGUAGAUUUUUAUAUCCAAAUCUAUCUGUGUGAAAAACUUGCCCCCGGUGAACAAGCUCAAGUGGUAAAUUCAAUUUCAUUGUUAUUCCCGUGGAUGGACUAACAUUAUAUUUGUCUCGUGCUUAUGAUAAGUUAUGUUCCCAAACUAUUGUAUUGUUGUGUUACAAUAUAAGCCCUUUAUGCGACGUCGCGCAGACGUCCGACUGCGGCAUGCACUGUCUUUACUUUCGUUAUAAGCCCUUUAUGUGAUGUCGCUCAGACGUCCGACUGCGGCAUGCACUCUUUACUUUCUGUUAUAAGCCCUUUAUGUGGUGUCGCCCCGACGCCCGACUGUGGUAUUAUUAUUCUGCAUUUUCCUCUCGAGGAGUCUUUCAGACACUCGUUUGGCACCCGCAUCAUUAUUUCUGCAUUUUCCGCUCGAGGAGUCUUUCAGACACUCGUUUGGCACCCGCAUUAUUAUUUCUGCAUUUUCCGCUCGAGGAGUCAUUCAGACACUCGUUUGGCACCAGUAUUACUAUCCCGCAUUUUCCGCUCGAGGAGUCAUUCAGACACUCGUUUGGCACCAGUAUUAUUAUUCCGCAUUUUCCGCUCGAGGCGUCAUUCAGACCCUCGCUUGGCACCCAGUAUUUAUUAUCUCUAUGCCUGAUCGCUCUGGUUAACUUAUUCAUGUGCUUCAUGUUUGCAUUUGUUAUACCUUAUGCCCGAACUGUCUUGCGAGUACUUUCAUAGUACUCACCUGGCUUGUUGAUUUGGCCAGAUGUUGAUGAAGGCGAUCUCUUGGAUGAAGAGUUUGAUAGCGCGUCCGACGCCUAGAGGAGUCCCAGUCAGUCCUGCGCGAUCCCGGAUAUUGGUCACUUGUAUCGUUUACGCUUCCGCCACCCGCAAUAAGUCUUCUCGAGCCUCACUCCGACGCUCGAAGAGCUGUAGUCUUCUGGAGUCAUAUCACUCGCCCCGCGGUGAUAUCUCCACCAUCGUUAUUAUCGUGAGUUAGUAGUUUGCCACCCUAUCCGCCGUAUUGUUUUAUCGGCGUGCAUGUAAUAAAUUGUUGGGCAAUCUCUGCUCAACUUUGUAUUAUCUUUAGUACUCCUGGUAUUUUUCUUCUGUGACCAAUGUAUUGUCAUUCAGUGAGAAGGAAUUCUUCCUCGCUGGUCCGUAACAGGGAUUGGUUUCUCAAUAAUUAUUUUAUUGAAAAACCGGUCGUGACAUCUAUAGAUUCAUGCAUAUCAUUAUUUUCUUCCAAAGAAACGGUCAUUUUCUCAAUAAAGUCCUUAACAUAGGCAUUAUGAGCAUAGUUUUCAUAGCAAUAUUUAAGUAUGUCGGAAUUUUCAGAUUUGUAGAGAGUAAUAUCAUACUUUUCAAUCAAAGAAGCAACUUCAUGAGCACCCUUAAAAAUGAAAAAUUCUUCAAUUUGUUCGAUAUCAUAGUAACUAUAAACACCCUUUCCAUAAGAAGAUAUGAUUUAAUUAUCAUUAAACUCACAUAGGUAGGGAAGGUGUUUUUUAGGGUUCUUAGAGCAACAAGUAAAAUCAUAAAUUUCACAAAGAUUCCAAGCAUAGCAUAGCAAACUAUUUAUUUGAUACCAUAAGAGCUUCCCCUUUCAUAAAAAAAGAUGACGCACAAAAUGAGCAUGCUCAUCUAAACAUCUUCCCUCAACUAAACUAGUUGGGGUUUCAGCACGAGCACAAAUAGAUCGAACAUGAUCCAAGUAGAACACUUUAAGUGGAUCCAUAUCAAUAGAUUUUUAGCAAGCAAAGAUGCAAGCAAAUAGAAGGCACAUGGAAACACAAACAAAAAGACAUACGGGAAGAAUGCGAAGAAAAGGCAAAGGUUUCCGAAAAUCGUUUUAGAAGUGGGGGAGAGGAAAACGAGAGGAAAAUGGAAAAUAAUGUAAUGCGAGGGAUAAGAGUUUGUGAUGGGUACUUGGUAUGUCUUGACUUGUGCGUAGACUCCCCGGCAACGGCGCCAGAAAUCCUUCUUGCUACCUCUUGAGCAUGCGUUGGUUUUCCCUUGAAGAGGAAAGGGUGAUGCAGCAAAGUAGCGUAAGUAUUUCCCUCGGUUUUUGAGAACCGAGGUAUCAAUCCAGUAGGAGGCUACACUCAAAUCCCUAGUACCUGCACAAACAAAUAAGAACCUUGCGACCAACGCGAUAAAGGGGUUGUCAAUCCCUUCACGGCCACUUGCAAAAGUAGGAUCUGAUAGAGAUAAUAAAUAUUUUUGGUAUUUUUAUGAUAUAGAUUGGAAAGUAAAGAUUGCAAACUAAAAUAGAUCAGAAACUUAUAUGAUGGAAAAUAGACCCGGGGGCCAUAUGUUUCACUAGUGGCUUCUUUCAAGAUAGCAUAAGUAUUACGGUGGGUGAAAAAAUUACUGUCGAGCAAUUGAUAGGAAACUGCAUAGUUAUGAGAAUAUCUAGGCAUGAUCAUGUAUAUAGGCAUCACGUCCGCGACAAGUAGAUCGAAACGAUUCUGCAUCUACUACUAUUACUCCACACAUCGACCGCUAUCCAGCAUGCAUCUAGAUUAUUAAGUUCAUAAGAACAGAGUAACGCAUUAGGCAAGACGACACGAUGUAGAGGGAUAAACUCAAGAAAUAUGAUAUAAACCCUAUCUUUUUAUCCUCGAUGGCAACAAUACAAUACGUGCCUUGCUGCCCCUGCUGUCACUGGGAAAGGACACCGCAAGAUUAAACCCAAAGCUAAGCACUUCUCCCAUUGCAAGAAAGAUCAAUCUGGUAGGCCAAACCAAACUGAUAAUUCGAAGAGACUUGCAAAGAUAACAAAUCAUACAUAAAAGAAUUCAGAGGAGAUUCAAAUAUUGUUCAUAUAUAAUCUUGAUCAUAAACCCACAAUUCAUCGGAUCUCGACAAACACACCGCAAAAAGUAUUACAUCGAAUAGAUCUCCAAGAAGAUCGAGGAGAACUUUGUAUUGAGAAUCAAAGAGAGAGAAGAAGCCAUCUAGCUAACAACUAUGGACCCGAAGGUCUGUGGUAAACUACUCACACUUCAUCGGAGAGGCUAUGGUGUUGAUGUAGAAGCCCUCCGUGAUCGAUUCCCCCUCUGGCGGAGCGCCGGAAAAGGCCCCAACAUGGGAUCUCACGGGUACAGACGGUUGCGGCGGUGGAAAUAGGGUUUCGUGGUGCUCCUGGAUGUUUUCAGGGUAUAUGAGUAUAUAUAGGCGAAAGAAGUCGGUCAGGGGAGCCACGAGGGGCCCACGAGGGUGGGGGCGCGCCUACCCCCUGGGCACGCCCUCCUGCCUCGUGGCCGCCUCGUUUCUUUCUUGACGCCCACUCCAAGUCUCCUGGAUUGCGUUUGUUCCAAAAAUGACUCUCCCGAAGGUUUCAUUCCGUUUGAACUCCGUUUGAUAUUCCUUUUCUGCGAAACACUGAAAUAGGCAAAAAACUGCAAUUUGGACUGGGCCUCCGAUUAAUAGGUUAGUCCCAAAAAUAAUAUAAAUGUGUAUAAUAAAGCCCAUUAAAUAUCCAAAACAGAUAAUAUAAUAGCAUGGAACAAUCAAAAAUUAUAGAUACGUUGGAGACGUAUCAGCCACCGUCGCACCCCGCGCCAGCUCAGCCGUUGGCGGCCGCCUUCCCGCCCGCCCUGGUCGCCCCCUUCCCGCCGCACCAGCCAGCCGCCGAUGGGGGGCUGUCGCGGCGGCCACCGCGAAGGCCGCAAGAAGCAGCAGGGGGCGCGGGCGCUCACGCAGGAGCAGCGCGCCCUCCGCAGCAGCAGUACUCGCCGGCUCUAUGGUACGCCGGCAAGAACCAAGGACUGGUGGCGUGCACGCCUACUCCAUGCCGGUUCCGCGUGCCCCUGCGCCGGGUAUUCUCGGCGCCCGACCACCGUCUCACCAGGCGUUCUACGCCGCGCCGCAGCCCUACGGGCCCCUCUCCUACGGCCAGCAGCCGCAUCCAGGCGGGCUGCCGCUGCUGCCCCUGACAGCUCCGCCGCAGCAGCAUGCUCUUUCGCUGGCGUCGUGGGACCCGACUCUUCUGGCGGCUCUUCACACCGCCCCCUCACUGUCCACCUACACCGGCGGCGGCUACUGGUAUAUAGACACUGGAGCUACCGCGCAUAUGGCUGCUCAUCCCGGUAACCUCCACACCUCCUAUCCCUUCCACACUUCUGCUCGCAUCACCGUCGGUGAUGGUUCCUCCCUUCCCAUUACUCACAUAGGACAUACAUCUUUUGUGUCUAAUUCUACUCCUGUGUCACUGUCUAACGUCUUAGUUUCUCCUGAGCUUAUUAAAAAUCUUGUUUCUGUUUGUUCUCUUACACGUGAAAAUCCGGUUACCGUUGAAUUUGACGAGUUUUAUUUUUCUGUUAAAGACGCUUGGUACUCCACCGAUGUGAAAGCCCCGACGAGCUCUACCUGGUUCACUCCGCCACCUCCACCACCUCCGCCGCUCCUGUUGCUCUCGCCACCGGAGUGGAUCUUUGGCAUGCUCGCUUGGGUCAUCCAAAACCCUUCGUCAUAUACUUCGGAGUUUUUCCUUCACGUGUAAUAAGAACGUGGAUCACUCGUGUCAUGCAUGUCGCCUCGGCAAACAUGCUCGUCUCCCGUUUAGGGCAUCUUCUCAUGUUGCAUCGUACCCGUUUGAGUUAAUUCAUAGUGAUGUUUGGACCUCUCCUGUUGCAAGUAAUACGGGCUAUCUUUAUUAUCUUGUCAUACUUGAUGAUUUUUCGCACUAUGUGUGGACCUUCCCGUUGCGUCGCAAGUCAGAUGUCAUGUCCACUCUCGCCACCUUCUACUCUUAUGUUCUCAUGCAGUUUGGUCGUCCCAUUCUCGCGUUCCAGACAGAUAAUGGGAAGGAGUUCGACAACCUAGCUGUUCGUACUCUCCUCAUCACACAUGGCACGACUUUUCGUCUGACCUGCCCGUACACUUCGCAGCAGAACGGUCGCGCUGAGCGUGUCCUUUGCACUCUUAACGACUACAUUCGGACUCUCCUCUUUCACGCCAAUGUGCCUCCGCGUUUUUGGCCUGACGCUCUCGCCACAGCAUCACUCCUCAUUAACAUCCGUCCAUGUCGCACUCGCGGGAACUUUGCACCUCAUCACCUCCUCUUCGAUGCACCGCCCUCUUAUGAUGAGCUUCGCAUCUUAAGCUGUCUCUGCUAUCCUAGCAUCGCCACCACUGCGCCUCAUAAGCUUGCACCCCGCUCCGUCGCCUGCAUCUUUCUCGGCUACCCACCUAACACUAAGGGCUACCACUGCUACGAUCCCGUCUCACAUCAUGUUUUCACCUCCAGACAUGUUUACAUUGAUGAGAAGGUGUUCCCGUUUCAGCAGCAGGUACCCCUCGUCGCCCCAUCGCCGCCGGCCAUCGGCGGCCCUUCGGUGACUCCGUCAGGUGGACGGCCCCGCUCGGCUCCCGGACAGCCUCUGGGCUUUGGCGGUCCUUGCGCCGUGGGACGAGCUGCGCCUCACGCCCCCACGUUGGCGCCCGCCUCUUCGUCCUCCUCGGCCGACCCUGCCCCCUCGGCCGGCCCCGCCGCCUUGGCCAGCGCCCCCUCUACACCCGCCACCCCCGCCUCGGGCGCCGCGGGCUCGAGCGCAGAGGGCUCGGCCGCCUCGCCGGCUGUCAUGCCGGGUACGUCGCCGACCGUCUCGCCGGCCGCAUCACCGGCCACCUCGCCGGCUGCCUCACCGCCCGCCUUGCCGGAUGUUUCGGUGCUGCCGUCUCGCCCCAUCACACGGGCCAGAGCUGGCAUUCAUCGUCCGAGUCUGCGGCACUCGAGCGAUGAGUACCUCCUCACCGCCUCCACCGCGGAGCCGUCCCCUAUUCCUACAUCUGCUCGCGUAGCCCUUCAUGAUCCUCACUGGCAUGCCGCGAUGCAGGAAGAGUUCGACGCUCUCCAGCGGAACCGCACCUGGACACUGGUUCCCCGGCCUUCUCGCGCCAAUUUCAUCAACGGCAAGUGGGUCUUUCGCCACAAGACCCGCUCGGAUGGUACACUUGAGCGCUACAAGACUUCACUGAGACGUUUGCAUCGGUUGUCAAACCAGGCACGAUCCGCACCGUCCUCCAGCUUGCGGUGUCCCGAGGCUGGCCAGUUCAUCAGAUGGAUGUCUCCAACGCCUUCCUCCACGGCCAUCUUGAGGAGCAGGUUUAUUGUGAGCAGCCCACCGGUUUCGUCGACGCAUCUCUUCAUAGGCAUGUGUGUUUGCUGUCCCAGUCUCUCUAUGGGCUCAAGCAAGCACCUCGCGCCUGGUAACAGCGGAUCGCCGGGUUUCUUCAAACACUGGGCUUCAGCGUCACUCGCUCGGAUGCCUCACUGUUUGUCUAUCUCCACAGUGACACGACUGCAUAUUUGCUCCUCUACGUUGACGACAUCAUCCUAACGGUCUCCUCCGCAACUCUGCUUCAGUAGAUUACUCUCCGGCUGCGUGACGAGUACGCCAUCAAGGACUUGGGCGCUCUACAUUAUUUCCUUGGCAUUGAGGUUAUUCGGCGACCGGACGACUUCUUUCUUCAUCAGCAGAAGUAUGCGCACGAGCUCCUUGAGCGUGCUGGUAUGCUCAAUUGUCACCCUGUUGCUACUCCUGUUGACACGAAGGCCAAGGUUUCUGCUCUUGAGGGCUUGCCAGCAUCGGAUGCUCCCUUCUACCGGUCCAUUGUCGGUGCUCUUCAGUAUCUGACUCUCACUCGACCGGAUCUAUAGUAUGCUGUUCAGCAGGUGUGUCUCCACAUGCACGCCCCUCGUGACUCCCAUUGGUCCCUCGUGAAGCGGAUCCUCCGUUACAUUCGCGGCACGAUGGCUCUUGGGCUCAGCCUCAUGGCGUCCACUUCUCUAGAAAUGGUGGCCUACUCCGACGCAGACUGGGCUGGCUGCCCCGACACCCGUCGGUCCACCUCUGGCUACUGCGUCUACCUCGGUCCUUCACUCGUCUCGUUGUCGUCCAAGUGACAACCUACGGUUUCGCGCUCAAGCGCGGAGGCUGAGUACCGAGCUGUGGCUAAUGCUGUUGCCGAGCGCACUUGGCUACGACAGUUACUUCAGGAGCUGGAUCACGAUGUCUCCCAGGCUAUAGUUCUCUACUACGACAACGUCUCUGCGGUGUACCUCUCCGCCAACCCCGUUCACCAUCGCCGGACUAAGGACAUUGAGCUGGACAUUCACUUUGUGCGCGAGCAGGUGGCCCUUGGACGUAUUCGGAUCGUCCAUGUUCCGACUCCACAACAGUUCGCCGAUGUGAUGACGAAGGGACUGCCGACUUCCACCUUCGAGGAGUUUCGUUCCAGUCUCUGCGUCACUGACGCCGCUUCGACUGCAGGGGGGUGUUGAGUAUAUUGUGUACGUGUACAUUGUGUAUUGGGCCCACCUCCUGUUUCCUCUGUACAGUUGAGGUUGUGGCCCCCCUCUAUACUCAUAUAUACGUGCCUAGUGCACCGAUCAACGUAUAGCGAUUGCACAGCCCUUCCACACCGUCCAAACCACGGCUGCUGCCGAGAAUGCCAUGGACGACCUCCGCACCUCCUCCCUCCCCCCAUCUGCCCACUUUUCCCACUCUUUUGCAGAUCUACGGCCGCGGUGAGUUGCAACGGCGUGCGGCGACGGUGGGGCAAACCAUGACCGACUAGAGCUACAAUCAUGGCGGCCAGAUGUUGGAACCAACGCAAUUUUUUGCUUCCACCGAUGUUUUGGCUUGCUGGAACCGUCAUCAGUUUUUGCAUUUUUGCUACCAGCGUUUUGUGGUUUGCUGCAACCAGUGUCGAUUUUUGUUACCACCGGCUUCUUGAUUUUUCAGGAACCAGCGCUCGAUUUUUCAUUUUUGCUACCAUUAGUGUUUCGAUUUGCUCGAACAAGCUUCAAUUUUGGCUACCAUGAGGUUUUUGGUUUGUUGGAAGGUCGCCGAUUUUUUCCAAUUUUGCUACCAACGUUUUAUUGGUUUUUGCUGGAACCGCCAAGAAUUUUUGCUACGAACGGCGGAAUUUUUUGCUGCGACCGGCAAAUUAAGGACGAGGAACAACACGAGCUCUACGGCGGGUGCUGCGGUCGGCGGCCGCCGCCACCGGAGUUGCAAGUGGACCUUACACGGUGCUCCAACUAACUAUCCUUUUUGCUCGAACCGGCAAAACUUUUUGCUUCGAUGGGGUGACCGCGGUGACCAUGCCCGCCAGAUGCUACAACCGCUCUCGCUAGAUGCUGGAACCGUGUCAGGAGUUUGUUGCAACCACGGUGACCACGCGCCCGCAGAGGCUCGACCAUGGAUGAUGGUGACGAUGGCGAGCCUCGAUGGCAACACGCGGUGACGUGUUGGAAGACGGUGACGUGCGGCUCUGCGUGCCGCGGGGGGCCUCGCCGGAGAUGCGCCNNNNNNNNNNNNNNNNNNNNNNNNNNNNNNNNNNNNNNNNNNNNNNNNNNNNNNNNNNNNNNNNNNNNNNNNNNNNNNNNNNNNNNNNNNNNNNNNNNNNNNNNNNNNNNNNNNNNNNNNNNNNNNNNNNNNNNNNNNNNNNNNNNNNNNNNNNNNNNNNNNNNNNNNNNNNNNNNNNNNNNNNNNNNNNNNNNNNNNNNNNNNNNNNNNNNNCGCCGCAAGGGCCUUGCUGGAGCUGUGCAGUGCUGCGAGCCACGGGGGAUCUCGCAGGAGAUGCGCCACGGGGGCCUGAGGAAUAAGAAGCUGGGCCGAUUUUUUUUCUCCAGAUCCAACCGCCGCACGGCUAGCAUCAAGCGGCUAGGGCUGUACCGGCCGAAAUUUUCGGCCGGUGCCCCGGCGCCUAGCGGUGCCCUUGUGCCCAAUGUAGAAAUACAGAAUGAAUAAAAAAUAUGACAUAUUGCGGCUGGGAAGCGUUCACAGUGAAGAAGGAUUUAGUUGGCCCACUUGACAGUAGAUUUGGCUCACGGCUACGUAGUAGACAACUACUCUAGUAAAAGUAGAAAAUUUGGCACCCAUAUGCCCACCAGCGUUUGCGUGGGCAAUUUGGCUUUUGGCACAUAUGUGCUGCCCUAAGGUUUGUCGGCACCAGAUGUCACUGGAUUUCCAGGACCAGAUAUCACUGAUUGGAUUUCCAGGACCAGACGACAGUUUUUCAAAAUAUCAAGAUCCACGUGAGAUCCAGGAAUAGUAUAGUUUAUUCUGAAAUGGCCACCAAAAGUAGGCUAAGGCUGAGAUUUCAUUAAUGAGGCGGGCCCAUUGAUGAAAUUUGGUGGGUNNNNNNNNNNNNNNNNNNNNNNNNNNNNNNNNNNNNNNNNNNNNNNNNNNNNNNNNNNNNNNNNNNNNNNNNNNNNNNNNNNNNNNNNNNNNNNNNNNNNNNNNNNNNNNNNNNNNNNNNNNNNNNNNNNNNNNNNNNNNNNNNNNNNNNNNNNNNNNNACGCAACGCUGCCCGUGAAAUUCCGUCGCCAUCGCCCACGUGCCUCCGUUUUUUCUUCUGAGAAGAUUUUCAAUUUGUUCAUCAACUGUCAAGAUGGUACAAAAAACAUUAGAGAUAAGUAGACCACGUAGCGACGACUACAAUCACUAUCACUAGAGGGAGCCGAAGAAGCGUCGUCGUCAUCAUUCCUCCAUCAUCGGAGCCGGGCAAACCUUAUUGUAGUAGACAGUCGGGAAGUCGUCGUGGUAAGGCCUAAGAGGACCAGCACACCAGAACAGCAGCCACCGCCGAUGAAGAGAAGCGUAGACCAGAAAGAUAUAACCUAAAUACGAAUGAAAAUCGGAUCCAAAUGAAUCCACCAAAGACAAACACCGAUCGGAUCAUGCGAGAUCCGUCGGAGACAAAUCUCCACACACCCUCUUAUAACCCUAAGCUGCUGCCGUCUUGUCUUUCUGAACAUAACACAAACCCUAGACGAACACGAAAAAGCAUCUAAAAACGAUGCAGGAGCCCUCCCGCCGGCAAGAGCCGAGAUCCACUGUGUUUCCAUGACCUCACACCACGGAAGACAAAGCGAUCUACGGCGGCGCCAGCGGGAGACGUCGGUUCCUGGUCGCCCUCGCGCGAGCGCACGAGGCGAAGGCCUGGAGACGUACGUAGCCGGGGCUUUUCCCUCCGUUCCUUUUUAGUUGCAUAUAAGUUUUGGAUGAAAUCAAAGUAUCUUCAAUUUAACCAGACUUAUAAAAAAGAGUAUAAACAUUCAUAAUAUUAAAUCAAUUUCAUUUGAUUAAUUACGGAAUGUAGUUCCAUAUUAUAUGCAUUUGGCAUUGUAUAUGUUGAUAUUUUUUAAUAUAAAUCUAUUCAAACUUUGUAAAGUUUAGUUCGACACAAAUCUUAUACGCGAAGUAAGAUCGGGAGUAUUAUCGUAAGGCAAGUCCAACAUCUUCUUCUACUUAUACCGUCUACACGCAGCUCGAUCGUAAACCUUCGGCUCAUACUGGUAAUUCGCAAAGAAAAUGGCCUCUACCACUAGCAGCAGCAAGAAGCUAUGUGUGCUCCUCAUUCCCUUCUUUGCCUCCAGCCACAUCGGACCCUUCACCGAGCUCGCCGUUAGACAAACCACAGGCCGUAGAGGCCACCAUCGCGGUGACACCGGCGAACGUGGCGUUCGUCCGGUCGUUGCUCAAGCGGCACGAGAAUGGCAGUGGUAUACCGGUGAAGGUGGCGAAAUAUGUGAGCCAAAUUUAAGUUUACUCCGUUAUAUAUGGGGGAUAAGGCUCAAUAGGGGAUUAAUUAGGUCCGGCCAAAAUUUAAAGACGCCGAUAACUACCACACGUGUGGUGUAUCGGGUGGUUGUGCCGUACGCUUUGUGUGGCAGGGAUUGGAACCUGCCCGCACGACCGCGUCCGGGCGCGCAAAGCCACAGCCCGCACGUCCGGUGUGUGGCAAAACCGCCCACACGUCCGGGCCAGACGACCGCGCUGCCCGCACGACCCAGCCGUCCCGGCCUCCUUUCGAUCCCCAGACCCGACUGCCGCCAUCGUCUCCCACCUCUCGAUCCCCUACCUCCAUCGCCAGCCUUCUCUGGUUGCCAUGGCAACCAGAGCAGAUCCGUAGGGCCUUCCAACCGCUAACCNNNNNNNNNNNNNNNNNNNNNNNNNNNNNNNNNNNNNNNNNNNNNNNNNNNNNNNNNNNNNNNNNNNNNNNNNNNNNNNNNNNNNNNNNNNNNNNNNNNNNNNNNNNNNNNNNNNNNNNNNNNNNNNNNNNNNNNNNNNNNNNNNNNNNNNNNNNNNNNNNNNNNNNNNNNNNNNNNNNNNNNNNNNNNNNNNNNNNNNNNNNNNNNNNNNNNNNNNNNNNNNNNNNNNNNNNNNNNNNNNNNNNNNNNNNNNNNNNNNNNNNNNNNNNNNNNNNNNNNNNNNNNNNNNNNNNNNNNNNNNNNNNNNNNNNNNNNNNNNNNNNNNNNNNNNNNNNNNNNNNNNNNNNNNAAAGACGACCAGCUAAAAGCAGGUGAAUCUCCGAUCUCCUACUAUUUCUCAUCCUUCUUCUGGCCAGAAAUUGCAAAUUUACCAACGAAGGUGGCGACCGGAUCCACGCUAUCGGGGCAAAACACUACAUGGUUUUGUGUGUCUUCGCAUUUGCCAAGCAGCAUACACCAGAUCUGCCAUGUACUACGGUAGAGUUGAGCUUAGGUUCUCAGUUCGCUUGGUGCAAGUAGUUGGUAAUGAAUGGAUGCGUAGGAAUCACUAAAAAAAGGGAGAGAAAGGAGAAAUUUGCCAUAAAGGGGGGUAGGAAAAAUAGUUGCCACUUGUGUCUAACGUCAGUUGCCACCUAUCGUUGCCGUUAACUGCCACCAUGUUAACCUGUUGCUUGCCAUCCUAUUGUAGUGGUUGUUGCCAUCGAAUCGAAAGGAUAGCUGGCACCCAGAGUUUAGAAAAGAGAGUGGAUGUGCAUAUCCUACUUGCCAUGAUGUGUUGGUUGCCUACGCAGGAAAAUGUGAUAAGACUGCCGUGUUAUCUUCUAUGUGCAAACAGUAGAAGAAUACAUUUUUUUGCGGAUUGUUGAUGCGUUCUUGUUCAUGCAGUGAUUGAGAACACAUUGGCAGAAACAAAACACGGAAAGAAUGAAUCACGAAGAUGGCACUGAUCCUUGGGUUUCUCAAAGGCCAGAAACGCCCCCUUGGGAUGCAGCAGAGUACAGUCAACUCAUUUCUGCAGGGUCGUUGCUGCCACUACUAGAGCAGUACGCAGGCAUUGGUAUGAUGCAUGAUAACAAAGAAAAGAACAUUUGCCACGUUCGCGACGAUGAAGAUGACAUUCUACUUUUGUCCUCCAAUGUCAUUUUUCGCAGGUUCUUAUGACCAAAACACACUCAGGGGGGCACCAUGGCAAGUUCAGUCACAGGGCGCUAACACUGACAAAUGUACGGGCAACCAACUUCAACUAGCUAAUGUGGCAAAUUAAGGUAACGCAUACGAAAAAGAAACAUACUGGUGUGGACAUGAAAAAUAAACUUGUAAAUGAUGGAAAAAGACUCACGAGUUAUAUCGGGAAAAAUGUAGAACCUUCAUGCAGCACGUGGCAUCAAACGACAACCAUGUACCUGCCAUCGACGUCAUACACAGGUGAGUCCAUAAAAAGUGAAGUUGCGGACGGUGAAUUAGCAGAAGGAACAUAGUUGACAACUGCAGUUGCCAUCCCUGGACAACUGCAGUUGCCAUCCAUGGACAACUUCAGUUGCCAUGCCAGGACAAACUGCAGUUGCCAUGUAUGAUCAAAAUGUGAUUGCAAUGUAUAAACAACCGUGGAUGGCAAGUGUGAACAAUUCUGUGUGGCAUGGUUGGACCACUACAUGUUCCAUGUUGAAGAAACUACAAUUGCCAUGCAGUGACCAACUACUACCAUGAUUACAGGUUAUUACGGUGGUACUACCUAGGCAAACGUCUCAUGGCAAGCUUCACAAAUGCAGGACAGCACUAUUGCAGAUAGAGCACGUCAAAUUGGUAUGACAGACCACACAAGAUGGGCACAUGCGGCACAACAAGGUAUGAAAAUUUGAACCACAAAACAGCACUGCAUUUGUUUUUGUGGGAAUAGCAUGUGAGGAAAAGAAGAUUUGUAACAGUGAUGGUGGAAAAAAUCAAACAGAAAACGCUAACAAGUGGUCGUGUGCAAUGAGUCAUAUAUUGUCUUCGGGAUUUGCCAAUUGCUAAAAGCAUGUGUGCAACACUAAUGAUUGACGCAUUUGCCUAGUGAGCUCAAGCCUGGAAUACAAAGUUUUGAUGCUAGAAUAUACUGGUUGCCAUGUAUUGGCAGCAGUAUUUGCCAUGUAUGUAACUGCAGCUGCCAUGGAUAUAGAAUCCAAGUUUUGGUACUGCAAGGAGCUGGUUGCCAUGCAUUGGCAACAGUAGUUGCCAUGUUUGUUGGACUGUAGCUGCCAUGACUGGAGAACUACAGUUGCCAUACAUGUCCAUAUGCAGACUCAUGGCUUGCUCUUUGAAUGUUGUCAUGCCAAAUCACUUGCAGUUGAUGUACUCCGUUACGAUAAACAUGUCAUUCAAGCAAAAUCUUACGCUCGUACCUGUUUUUUUAUUACAGGACCUUCAACUACAAUCAACAGCGGCAUGGGGACAUCUACUGCGGGGAGCUCUGAGCGCACGGAAGACGCGUUCCACCAGCCAGCCAACAAUCAUGCCACAAACAAUGCCGAGUCAGUGUCGGAAAUGGCAAUCAUUCCAGCAAUGCCGACAAGCACACAUUUGAACACAAGCACUGGCAACACUCAAGUAGAUGAAACUGCCGCCGAUACUGAAGUGAAUGAUGAAACUGAUGACGAAGCACAAGGGGAUGAAGAUGGUGGGCAAUCAGAGAUCAUGGUACCUGAUACGUCUCCAACGUAUCUAUUUUUUCAAACACUUUUGCCCUUAUUUUGGACUCUAACUUGCAUGAUUUGAAUGGAACUAACCCGGACUGACGCUGUUUUAAGCAGAAUUGCCAUGAUGUUAUCUUUGUGCAGAAAACAAAAGUUCUCGAAAUGACCUGGAAAUCCACGGAGAUUAUUUUUGGAAAAUAAGAAAAAUACAGGCGAAAGAAUCAAGGCCAGGGGGCCCACACCCUGUCCAGGAGGGUGGGGGGGCGCCCUCUCCCCCUGGGCGCGCCCCCUAUCUCCUGGGCCCCCUGGAGCUCCACUGACCUCAACUCCAACGCUAUAUAUUCCGUUUCGCGGAGAAAAAAAUCAGAGAGAAAGUUUCAUCGCGUUUUACGAUACGGAGCUGCCGCCAAGCCCUAAUCUCUCUCGGGAGGGCUGAUCUGGAGUCCGUUCGGGGCUCCGGAGAGGGGAAUUUGUCGCCGUCGUCAUCAUCAACCAUCCUCCAUCACCAAUUUCAUGAUGCUCACCGCCGUGCGUGAGUAAUUCCAUCAUAGGCUUGCUGGACGGUGAUGGGUUGGAUGAGAUUUAUCAUGUAAUUGAGUUAGUUUUGUUAGGGUUUGAUCCCUAGUAUCCACUAUGUUCUGAGAUUGAUGUUGCUAUGACUUUGCUAUGCUUAAUGCUUGUCACUAGGGCCCGAGUGCCAUGAUUUCAGAUCUGAACCUAUUAUGUUUUCAUGAAUAUAUGUGAGUUCUUGAUCCUAUCUUGCAAGUCUAUAGUCACCAAUUAUGUGUUAUGAUCCGACAACCCCGAAGUGACAAUAAUUGGGAUACUUCUCGGUGAUGACCGUAGUUUGAGGAGUUCAUGUAUUCGCUAAGUGCUAAUGCUUUGUUCCGGUUCUCUAUUAAAAGGAGGCCUUAAUAUCCCUUAGUUUCCACUAGGACCCCGCUGCCACAGGAGGGUAGGACAAAAGAUGUCAUGCAAGUUCUUUUCCAUAAGCACGUAUGACUAUAUUCGGAAUACAUGCCUACAUUACAUUGAUGAACUGGAGCUAGUUUUGUGUCACCCUAGGUUAUAACUAUUGCAUGAGGAAUCGCAUCCGACAUAAUUAUCCAUCACUGAUCCAAUGCCUACGAGCUUUUCACAUAUUGUUCUUUGCUUAUUUACUUUUCUGUUGCUACUGUUACAACCACUACAAAACCCAAAAAUAUUACUUUUGCUACUGUUAUCAUUACUAUCAUAUUACUUUGCUACUAAAUACUUUGCUGCAGAUACUAAGUUAUCCAGGUGUGGUUGAAUUGACAACUCAACUACUAAUACUUGAGAAUAUUCUUUGGCUCCCCUUGUGUCGAAUCAGUAAAUUUGGGUUGAAUACUCCACCCUCGAAAGCUGUUGCGAUCCCCUACACUUGUGGGUUAUCAAGACUAAUUCCUGGCGCCGUUGCCGGGGAGCAUGGCUCUAUUCUUUGAGUCACUUGGGAUUUAUAUCUGUUGGUCACUAUGAAGAACUUGAAAGACAACAAAAAAAAAUUUAUCCAUCAACUACGAGGGGAGGUAAGGAACUGCCAUCUAGCUCUGCACUAGAUUCUCCUUCUAUUUUGAGUAAGCUUGCGACACCUAAACCUGCUACUGCUAUGAAUUCUGAUAUGGCGCAUGUUAUUAAUGAUGCCACUUCUGCUAUGCAUGAUACUUAUGAUGAAACUACUUCCAUGCUUGAUACUAUUGUGCCAUUAGGUGAAUUUCUUGAUGAACAACUUGCUAGGGCUAGAGAGAAUGAAAUUAUUAAUGAUGAUAUUAUUGAAGAUAGUGAUGAUGAAGGUUCUCCUCCUAAUUAUGAAUUGCCUGUUGUUCCUGAGGGUUAUGUUAUGGAUGAAGAAACUGCUAGAGAUCUUCUUGCUUGCAAUGAUAGAUAUGAUCUUAAGAAAUUACUAGCUAAACUUAAACAGAAAACUCUGAAUGCUAGAAUGAAACAUGACCCUGCUUUUGCUACUUCACCUAUCUUCGUUACUGAUAAGGAUUAUGAAUUCUCUGUUGAUCCUGAGAUAAUUACUUUGUUUGAAUUUGAUCCUUUUUAUGGCUAUGAAUCUGAAACUAUAGUGGCACAUCUUACCAAGUUAAAUGAUAUAGCCACCCUAUUUACUAAUGAUGAGAAAUCCCGCUACUAUUAUAUCCUUAAGAUAUUUCCGUUCUCAUUAAAGGGUGAUGCUAAAACUUGGUUUAAUUCUCUUGAUCCUGGUUGUGUGCAUAGUCCCCAGGAUAUGAUUUAUUACUUCUCUACUAAAUAUUUCCCUGCUCAUAAGAAACUAGCUGCCUUGAGGGAAAUAUAUAAUUUCGUGCAAAUCAAAGAAGAGAGUCUCCCACAAGCUUGGGGGAGGCUUCUCCGAUUACUUAAUGCUUUUCAUGAUCAUCCUCUUAAGAAAAAUGAAAUACUUGAUAUCUUUUAUAAUGGACUAACCGAUGCUUCCAAGGACCACUUGGAUAGUUGUGCUGGUUGUGUUUUCAGGGAAAGAACAGUCAACCAAGCGGAAUUGUUAUUGAAUAAUAUGUUGACUAAUGAAAAUAAUUGGACCCUUCCUGAGCCAAUUCCCGAGCCAAUUGAGCCAACUCCUGAGCCUAUUCCUAAACCUACUCCGAAGAAUAGAGGUGUUCUAUUUCUCAGUCCUGAAGAUAUGCAAGAGGCAAAGAAAUCAAUGAAAAAAAAAGGUAUUAAAGCUGAAGAUGUUAAGAAUUUAACUCCUAUUGAAGAAAUACAUGGUCUUAAUAUACCGCCUGUUGAAGAAACACAUUGUCUUGAUAACCCGACACAGGUAGUAAAGGUAAAUUCUCUCUAUAGAUAUGAUAUAGUUGAAAUCCCGUCUGUUAGAUUUCCCUAGCCAAUGUUUAGAUGAAUUUGAUGACUUUAUGGCUAGGCAAGAAAGUUUUAAUGCUUAUGUUGGUAGAGAAUUAAAGAGUAAUGCUUACAUGAUUGGACACUUGAGUGAUUAUAUGUCUAGAGUUAAAGGUGAACUUAAACUCAUUAGUAAACAUGCUUCUAUGGUUACCACUCAAGAUGAACAAAUACUUAAAGCUCAAAAUGAUUUGCUUGAUGAAUUAAAUAAUAAACAUGACUAUGUUGUCAGAGUGGCUACUAGAACUGGUAGAAUGACCGAGGAACCUUUGUAUCCUGAAGGCCACCCUAAGAGAAUCGAGCAAGAUUCUCAGAGAAAUAAUUUAGAUGCACCUAGUCCUUCUAAAAAGAAGAAAAAGAAAAAUGACAGGACUUUGCAUGCUUCUAGUGAACCUAUUGUAGACACACCUGAGAAUCCUAAUAAUAUUUCUAUUUCUGAUGCUCAAACACAAUCAGGUGAUGAACAUGAACCUAGUGAUAAUGUUAAUGAAAAUGUUCAUGUUGAUGCUCAACCUAGCAAUAAUAAUGAUGUAGAAAUUGAACCUGCUGUUGAUCUUGAUAACCCACAAUCAAAGAAUCAACGUUGUGAUAAGAGAGACUUUGUUGCUAGGAAGCACGGUAAAGAAAGAGAACCAUGGGUUCAGAAACCCCUGCCUUUUCCUCCUAAACCAUCCAAAACAAAGGAUGAUGAGGAUUUUGAGCGCUUUGCUGAAAUGAUUAGACCUAUUUUCUUAUGCAUGCGCUUAACUGAUAUGCUUAAAGUAAAUCCUUAUGCUAAGUAUAUGAAGGAUAUCAUUACAAAUAAAAGAAAGAUACCGGAAGCUGAAAUUUCCACCAUGCUUGCUAAUUACACUUUUAAAGGUGGAAUACCAAAGAAACUAGGAGACCCAGGGGUACCAACUAUACCAUGCUCCAUUAAAAGAAAUUAUGUUAAAACUGCUUUAUGUGAUCUUGGAGCCGGUGUUAGUGUUAUGCCUCUCUCUUUAUAUCGUAGACUUGAAUUGAAUAAGUUGACACCUACUGAAAUAUCUUUGCAAAUGGCCGAUAAAUCAACUGCUAUACCUGUCGGUAUUUGUGAGGAUGUGCCUGUUGUGGUUGCAAAUGUCACUAUCUUAACGGACUUUGUUAUUCUUGAUAUUCCCGAGGACGAUAGUAUGUCGAUUAUCCUUGGUAGACCCUUUUUGAAUACUGCAGGGGCUGUUAUUGAUUGCAACAAAGGCAAUGUCACUUUUCAUGUUAAUGGUAAUGAGCAUACAGUACACUUUCCGAGGAAACAACCUCAAGUUCAUAGCAUCAAUUCUAUUGGGAAAAUUCCAACUAUUACUAUUGGAGGUUUUGAAUUUCCUCUUCCUACUGUCAAGAAGAAAUAUGGUAUUCUUAUUAUUGGGGAUGUUCAUAUCCCCGUUGAGGUAACCUAGUGUUAUUCGAAAUUUCUCCGGUUCCGUGUUAUUCGGAAUGGGUUCGUUAACAAGACUAGAUCAACCUUGUUAGUGGAUUCAUUUUGAUGAUCAUGAGAUGGAUGAAACUAGAAGGCACAACCUUCUGUACCCUCUUUUUACUUUCUGUUAUUUAGAAUAAAUAAAGCAAAAAUAGUAUUAUCUAUCUGUUUUCUGAAUUAUCAUGCAAUAAAAAAAUAUCCCGAAAAUAAAAGUUCUCCAAAUGCCCUGCCAAUUUAGUAUGAUUUUUUCUGGAAUAUUUGAGGAUUUUAGGCACUAAGAACACAGCAGGGGGGCAAGCACCUGGCCACGAGGGUCCAGGGCGCGCCCACCUUUACAGGGCGCGCCCACCUGUCUCGUGGGCCCACGGUGGCCCCCCUCCACUUAUUCCUGCACCCACACACUCCAUCUUCCUCCCAAAAAAAUCCCCAUCCAACUCAAGCACGAGUUCUAGCUCAUUUUGCUGCGAUUUUCGAUCUCUUUGCUCAAAGCUCCAUUCGAAAAACUGCUUUGGGAGUUUUUUGCUUGGUAUGUGACUCCUCCAUUGGUCCAAUUAGUUUUUGUUCUAGUGCUUUAUUUAUUGCAAAUUUUUGCUGCAUAGGUGACCCUGUUCUUGAGCUUGCAUGUCAAAUUUAUGAGGUCCCAAGUAAUUCUAAUGCAUGAUAUAGGCUCUAGGCACUUGUAGGAGUAGUUGCUAUCAAUCCUGUUUAGUUUGAUUCACUUUUAUUUUGAAGUUACUAAAAAUUUCAGAAAUUUUCAGAAAAUGAUGAGGAGGUUAUUGAGGGGCUCUUCUAGCCAAAGCUCUAAGGAUAAACAAGCUAAGGAGAAAGAAAAGGCCAAUUAUAAUCUUCCUCGCAUAGCGGAAGUGUCGUGGUUUUGUCACGGCAGAUGUCCUUAGUGUCAGGACUUAGUCGCGAGGCCAGCGCAUCUAUGUGGUAGCUUGAGAGGGGUUGAGCAGAAUCGAGAGACGCAACACACAAGACAAGGAUUUAGACAGCUUCGGGCCCCGGGAAACAUCAUCCGGUAAUAGCCCUACAUGUUGUUUGUGGCUAGGUCUCAUUAUCAUCAUGAGGGAGUCGCCGGUAAACCGGCUCUUUGUGUCUAGCCCUAGAGAUUGUUUCUUCUUGCUUGUCCCUCUUUGGGGUGCCCUGCCCCUCCUUAUAUAUGUUUAAGGGGCGGGUUACAUGUGUAGUCCUAUUAGGAUUAGGACUAGUCUAUCUCUAAUACAAACCGGAUACAAGUCCUGGUCUUAACUCAUUGUAAGGUAAAUAUUCGUCAUGCCUUUCCUCUUAAACCGGCCCACCAUAGUACGAACCGGCCUUCAUGAACCGCCUGUUGGGCCACCGGGUCUUGUCGCUCCUCUGACCCACCUGUCGGAUUACCAAUGAAUCGUAAACCGCCAGGUCCAAACGGGUCACCAGUGAAUCGUCAAGUCUCAGCCGGGUCUCAAGUAAACCGCCAAGUCCGACCGGGUUAUACUUUCCGGCCGGUUUACGCCGCGGGAUAUAUCCCCGACAUUAGCCCCUAGUUUAAUUUGGAUUUAUCAUUGUUAAACUCAUCCUGUAAAACAAACACAAGAACAAGUUUGACAGAUUAUGCUUCGGGUUAAGAAUUCUUGUAAACCGGCAUCUGAUCAUCCUUAAGUCCUUGUCAUUUCCUCCUUCUAGAAAAUCCGGGUCAACAAGCCAGCUUCAUACUCAAUUUGCUGACAUUGGCUUCUCACAGAGAAAUAUUAUGAAGAAUAAUCCACUUGAGUCAGCUUCCAAAGCGCCGGUUUAAGAAAUAUGGGUCUUGAAAUACUCAUCUGAUAUCCGGCUAGUUUGAAGAUGUAAAACUUGCCGGUUUAAUAUUACCAAAAUUGUCGGGUUAUAAAAACUGAUAAUUCCAGGUCAUGAUUGUUGCCAACGCCGGUUCAUGAUUGUUGCCAACACCGGUUCAUGAUUAUUGAUGACGCCGGGUUAUGAUUGUUGUAGACACCGGGUCAAUCUGGUUAGCUCAAAACUGAAAAUUGGAAGAUACUUCUCCCUUAUAUCCAUAUUACCUGUAGUCCCCCAAGUCUUGAACAGAACAAAGUGAUGAUUUGAGACUUGUUUCCAUAUAAUUACUGCCACUUUGAAGAAAUCCAUGUUGUUCAUCUCAGUCACUAGUAAAAACUGAAUACUCCAUAUAUGUAGCCCCCAAGUGUCGGGUUGUCAUGCUUGCAGCAACCUGGGACUUGUAAUUGCCUUAUACUCAUAAAAACUUCAACCAGUGUAGCCCCCAAGGGCCGGGUCAUUAUGCAAUAAUGAGCAGGACUUUAUAAAUAUGAUCGUGUAGAUUUGAACAAUAACGUGUAUCCCCCAAGGGCCGGCUCAGUAAGAAAAUAUUGAGCUGGUACUUUAUAUAUACUUCAUUGAAAAUAACAUCAUAUGAUGUAACCCCCAUCAUGGUGCUUGAAUCCACGUCCACAAGGUUAAGAGCUUUGUGCUUUACCAACUGAGCAAUAAACCUUUCAAUAAUAUAUGAAAAUUUGAGUACCUUGAAUUGUUUGACAGGACUAAUUGGUAGCCCCGAAAGGCCGGCUCAUUACAAUGUGAUGAGUUGGGUCUUCAAUAAGGUGAGCAAAAAAUGACUUUGCAUUAGCCCCCAAGUGUCAUGGUGCAUACUUGCAGCGACAUGAUACUUGCAUAUUUGAUGUAAUCUCAACUUGAAGUAAUGUAGCCCCCAAGUGCCGGGUCGUAAGCCUGCAGCAACUUGGGACUAUUCCUUCAAUUGUAGAAUAAAUUAUAUCCAUUGAUAAUACGAUAGCCAUUGCGCUAAAGCAACUUUGAAAACCUUAAUCAUAAUACUGGUUAUUGAUAACCAUAAUAAAAAUCAGCCAUGUAGGCUAUUUGAAGAUUUGAAUAAGAUAAUCCAAUGAUUUAUGAGUGCAUGAUUCCAAUGGCGCAAUCCAAACAUAUACUGGCGACUUAUAGUCCCAAGCCAGGUCGGGUUAACAAACACCGGAUAAUUUCUCAUCAUAUACUGGCGACUUAUCGUCUUAAAGACAGACCGGUUUAAUAAACACCGUAUAAUUUAUCAUCAUACUGGCGACAUAUAGUCGAAAGCCAGGCCGGGUUAAUAAACACCGGUGAUUUAUAAUCAUGCUUUAUUCAACCUGUUUCUGCAUAUAACAAGUUUAAAGUGUCCUGGCGGUUUACCGUCGGACGGGUCAUAAUGCCCAACAUAUAACCCGGAUUUAUAACCAAGGCUGCAUUUUAAGAAUAAUCAAAUAUGAAAUAUAUCAUACCUGUGACAUUGAAUCACAUCGUUGGUUUACCAACUUUUUGUAGUAAGGGUGAUAACCCAAAUUUUGAGUACUGAUAACUCAUCCCAUAUUGUGCCGGUUUACGAUAAAACCGUUCCGGGUUGUGAUAAACACCGGUUUAUCCCAUAUUGGUGACUUUAAGUCAAAACCAGACCGGGCUGAUAGUCUCCGGUUUGUAGUAAGGCAGGAUACCCAUGUUUGAACCGCGCAUCAUGGCAGCAGGUCCUCUUCGGCAACCUUUAACUUUUUGUAAGGGAUAAAUUCUUCUUGAACCGGGAUUUUAAACCAGAUAUUGAGAGCUUCAAAGCUUUAUGGGAGACAUCUUUCCCUUGAACCGGAUUUUAAACCAGAAUCUUCAUUUUUAGCCGGAAAUCUUCUGACGGCCCUUAAGCUCGAACUUGCAAGAAGUUAAUUCCUUUUUGAACCGGACAUUGUUAAACCGGAUUUGAGCGCUUCAGAGCUUUGUGGGAGAAUAGAUUUCCCUUGAACCGGAUUGUAAACCGGAUAUUGAGAGCUUCAGUGAGACCGACUUCCCUUGAGCCGGAUUUUAAACCGGAGUCAUUUCUGAUGACCCGGAACUUCUUCAUUGAGCCGGGAUUUUGUAACUGUCAUAUAUUUUCUAAACCGGAAAUUUUCUGACGGCCUUUAAAUUUUCAUUAAUAUAACAGUAGCCUCCGAAACCGGGUUAUCUUUUCCUCCAUCGUCCUGGGGUUCUUAAAUUUGCUGAAACUGGCAAGAUUUGCUGAGUCAUGUCAUCGUAGCCCCCGAGUCUCAAAGGUGACUCGAGGAGUUGGCUUGAGACUCUCCAUAUUUGACCGUGAUGUAAACCGGUAUAACUUGUAUAUCAUUGGUGUUGAUAGCACAAUGUGAAUCCACAGAAGGCUGAGGUGACUGCGGCGGGUUAUAAACGACCCCGUAUGAGUUGUGUCAGCAACUCGGCCAAUGGUUCCUUCCAACAGGUGAUUUGAAGUUAACCAAAACUGUACUGGCGGCGACUUGUGCGCCAGCCCGUUGAACCACCUGUGCAGACGGCGGUUGAUAGUAUAUGAUAAUUUGCCUCCAUUUUGUUGAAAGAAAAUCGGGCUACCCAAGCUGUGACUUGUUCAUACUCAAUAAAUAGCUCAUGCAGACAGGUGCGGCCCGGUAUGUUGAUGUAGACCAGGCCGCGAGAGACAGAGGACAAGGACGACCGCAGCAUCAGAGGCAGCUCGGACAGAUAAGUCGGCCGCGGCAUUGUAAGCCGGUGCAGACGGGGGAAAUCGGAAGUAUGCUGAUGUAGACCGGACUGCGGGGGAUGGCGGGCUGUGCACGCGUUAUUGGGUAAUUCGCACGGUCCUGACGAAUUGACGCGGACUGGAUCGCGAUAUAAACCGGCAUGGGUUAUCCAAUAGCUCAGCGAUAUAAUAAUCCCUUUUUGUGAUAGACAAUUUGUCCUACAUUGGAAACGUUUGCAAGCCAGAGUAUUUUCUCUUUUUAAAGAAAGUAAUAUAUAAUAUGAAAAUAUAGUGGAUGGAUUUCACCUGGUAUGUUAGCCAGAAAAUCUCCACUGCGGAAUUGAUGAUCACCGCGGUGAAGCUGAAAUCGAUCAUGGACAAGUUGGCCAUACGAGCAGACGGAUGAACCGGCCGCGGCGUUCUAAACCGUCGCGGACGCGUGAACCGGCCGCGAGGGACGGACGAGCGAGUCGUCUGUGGCGUUUGUAAUGCAGUGCAGACGCGUGAGUUGGUCGUGGACGCGGACAGUUGAGUCGGCGCGGGUACGGUCGAAUGAACCGAAUUGAUCACGACAGUAUGGACAAAUACCAAUGCAAAAUGAUGACACGGUACGCUCCAUAUCCGCGGUAUAAAGCCGUUUUUCUAAUAGAUGAUUACCCUGCAUAUAAAAAACACCAUAGAGCAGAGUAGUUGCGCUCGGACUAAUUUUAAAGUGUACUAAGGAAAUAUAUAGAAGAAAUAGCACCUGAUUUUGAGCGGUCUCAGUGUACGUUUUUGCUGCGUACUGUCAUUUGAUUUUUGAUGUAACGGCUUGUCCCUUGUGACCACGUGAGAGCUUUCUUGGAGGUUUCGCUGGCAGUAUACUCUCCACCGGGAUCUGGAAGUUUGUGCAAACAAAAACACUUUAACUUGAAUAGACGGCUUGCGGUUUUGAUGGAUGUGAGUGCACUUCUGCCUUCGUCUGUACUACUGUGCGUAGCACUUUGUUUUUUGGAUUUAACUGAUCUCCACAUCAGGAAAAAGUAGCAGCUGCAGUAGCUUGUUGCCUCGGGACACGAAGUCUAAGAACCGCGGACGUGUUGCCAUGGGAAACUUGGAAACAACAGCUGCACCCUCAUAAUAUAUCUGUGGCUCAGCGAGUUAUGAUCGGAUGGUCUGUGAGGCACACAGCCUGCCGUACUCCUGUCGGUCUCCGUGAUUUGAUCGAUUGUCUUCAGAUCGCCCGAUGGGAGCGGUGGUUUGACUUUUCGUUGACUGCCCUUCACAUAUGGAAGCAAUUGCCAUCAUCAUCAUCGAGAUUUCUUUUUCCAUCAGCUUACAACUUGACGGAUCGCCAAAAGCUGCCACAACCAAAAAUUUUGUCUCGGACUCAGCGGAUCUCCAUGCCGCUCGUAUCGGCCGCUUAGCCCGCAACCCUAAAAUCUUCUGAAUCUUAAUUUCAUAUGCGUUGUUCCGACUGCUGGUUGACAAUGUAUAUCCUUCUGAAACUGACUUGUAGGGUAACUCGACAGAAAAUGAAAAUUUUCGGUAUAGCGAGCACGCCCAGGACCACUAUGGAGACUGCAUACAAGGUUUGAUCUGAUCCGUACCGACUCGAAGCGCAGCGGAAGAAGAGUCGGUGUAGAUCGUCGGUGCAGAUCCCCGCAGCUAGGAUUUACAACCUCCCAACCGCGAGGAUGUACUCCCUCUCCGGAUAGCCCUUCGGGAGGCGGUCGGACAGUCCCCCGGACAAUGUCGCGGACAGCCCUUCGGGAGGACCCUCGAAACUCGGACAGAGACUCGGACAGCCCUUCGGGAGGACACUCGAACAGCCCCUCGGGCAAGAGAUUGAAACUACAAUCUCUCUACGGGGUUGCACACAUACGGUGUCAGCUAUCCGGCAGGGCUUCGCCGUCCAGAACUAGUUCCUGCCGGAACCCAGACAGCCUUACGGCUCUACGAAACUCUUUUCGUGGGAGGGAGAGAAGAAGCCUGAUAAUGCAUGGCAUGUGUAUGAGAGCAAGGGAUGAGCUUUGGGCUGCCCACUCCUCCUCUAUUUAUAGGAAAGCCAAGGGGUAGGGAUGGCUCACAAAAACCCAAAAUGCCCAUGCAAAUGUCACACAUGAAGGGCAUAAUGGGGAGUGAAGUGGAGCUCCAUGGAGCCCCACACAUGUGGCCGGCCAACCCCCUUGGGGGACCCCCAUGAGGAGCAUGCUUGGCCCCCAAGCCCUUCUAGAAGCCUUUUGGAGAUAUCCCAAAAGGUGACUCACCAUAAAAUAUCCCAAAAAGCACUUUCACUAUUCACGACGACAUUUUUCAGCGUCUGUUCGAACUGAAAAUAUUUAUGUGGGCUUAGAACAUUUCCAGUACCCACCAAAAUUAUUUUCAACGUGUUCCGAAACAAUUCUGGUUUAGUGAUUUUCAUCUGCGAAAAGCAUCUGAAGUGGCUCCGGCAGCUCCGGAACAUUUCCGGUUUUUAUCUCAGAAAAUUCCAAAAAGCUUCCAGAAUGAUUCUGGCAUCCUCCAAGAAUUAUCAGGCAUGUGCCGAAACCAAUUUGACUUAAUGGUGUAUCCCGAAACAACUUUUCGGUAUCAUUGAAACUUAUCCGAUGACCUCUCUCUGCGGUACGAUUCCGCUGUCCGAAACUUUUCGGUGUCCGAAACUUUUUCGGUGAUUUUCUCUCAGACUCCCUGUCUAGUAUUCAGCAGAUAGAUGACCCUUAAGCGUGUGACCCUAUAGGUUCGGUGAAGUAUAGACAUGACCUGGAACCCCUUCCGAUCAAUGAUCAACAUCGGAGCCGUGGACACCCAUAUUGACCCCUAUACCCACACGAAUGAAUAUUCGAGUGAACCUCCAGUUGCAGUGAGCUAUUCCUGUUGCUUCGCGAUAUGUCACAAACACCCGAGGUGAGAUUUAUUGCAUGCCCAUGGACGAACAAUUUGUCCACCAUGCAAGUUACCUCGUUACCGGUUUUGUUCUCUUCUCUCGUUUAUGUGUUCCGGCAUCCCAGUGAUCAAAUCACAAUGUGUCUGGCCAGACAAUGAUGGAUACCGUUACACCGAGAGGGCCCGAGUAUAUCUCUCCAUCGUCGGAGGAGCAAAUCCCAAUCUUGAGCUAUCUUGUUACUUCCUAUACUUUUCCGUGAACCCAAAAGCUGCCGUAAUAGCCACCCAGUUACGGAUGACGUUUAACAAACCCCAAAGUUCACGAAGCAAGCACGAAGGAACUUGAUACUCUCAUGGUCUAAGGAAUUAUGCAAACAUUAACUAUCUCAAUGAUAUUAACCAUAAACUUGUGACGAAGGUAUCUCAUAGCAUAACAUCAAUCCGGGUUGAUUCAACACAAGCGUUCUACCAAACUUGUGCCCUCAAAAUUGCCGGCAUAGUCAUGCCCAUGAUCAGGAAACAGGAUCAUCAUGCAAUACUUGAGCUAGUCUUAGAGGCAAGACUAGGAAUAUAUUUUACCGUUUAUUAUACCACAUGUGCAUAUGAGUUCCCUCCGAGCCUCGUGGAUAUUGUAGACUCGAGAAUCAUUGCAGUUAUAGCAUGGAUCAUAAACAUUCAUUACAAACUUGGAGAUACAAAAUAACUGUUAUUACUGCCUCUAGGGCAUAUCUCCUACAGACUCCCACUUGCACUAGAGUCAUAAUCCAGUUACAUGGCUUCCCUAACACCAAUGGCUAUCCGGUGCUGCUCAUGUUUUGCUCGUGGUAGAGGCUUUGUCAUCGGGUCUGACACGUUCAGAUCCGUGUGAACUUUGCGUACUUUCACUAAACCCUCUUCGACAUAAUGUCGAAUGAGUUUAUAUUUGCGUUGAAUAUGUCUUGUUUUAUGGUGCGAACUUGGCUCCCUUGCCUGAGCCACGGCGCCACUAUUAUCACAAUAGAUCUCCACCGGGUCCUGGGCACUAGGAACCACACCAAGGUCUUCAAGAAAUUGUUUGAUCCAUACCGCCUCCUUGGAGGCUUCUGAAGCAGCAACAUAUUCCGCCUCCGUCGUAGAAUCCGCCACAGUCUUUUGUUUGGAACUUUUCCAAUCAACUGCGCCGCCGUUCAAUAUGAAAACGUAGCCUGAUUGAGAUUUGAAGUCAUCUGGGUCAGUCAUGAAGCCUGCAUCAGUGUAACCACUUACAAUGAGCUCUUCAUCACCUUCGUACACAAGGAGUAAAUCCUUGGUCCUUCUGAGGUACUUAAGAAUACCCUUGACUGCGGCCCAGUGUUCCAACCCUGGAUCACUUUGGUACCGGCUGCUAACACUUAGCGCAUAGGAAACAUCUGGUCUUGUACAUAGCAUGGCAUACAUAAUAGAACCAACUGCCGAGGCAUAUGGAACAUCAUUCAUUUGUACUCGCUCAUCCAGAGUCCGAGGACUCUGAUUCUUGCAAAGCACUAUGCCAGGUGACAUGGGGAGUAGGCCUUUCUUGGAGUUCUCCAUGUUGAACCUUUUCAACACCUUGUCAAUGUACGUGCUUUGGCUAAGCGCUAUCAGGCGUUUUGAUCUAUCUCUAUAGAUCCUGAUGCCUAAUACAUAUGCCGCUUCGCCUAGGUCUUUCAUUGAAAAACUUUUCUUCAAUGAGUCUUUUAUUUCGCUAAGAAAAUUCACGUCAUUUCCAAUCAACAAUAUGUCAUCCACAUACAAGAUUAGAAAUGCUUUUGCGCUCCCACUAAACUUCUUGUAAACACAAGAUUCUUCGUCAUUCCUGAUGAAGCCAAACUUUUUGACCACUUCAUCAAAACAAAUGUUCCAGCUCCUUGAUGCUUGCUUCAGACCAUAAAUGGCUUUCUGAAGUUUGCAUACCUUUCCAGCAUCCUCAUGAAUGACAAAACCUUCUGGCUGUAUCAUGUAUACAUCCUCUUUGAGGUUUCCAUUUAGGAAAGCCGUUUUGACAUCCAUCUGCCAUAUUUCAUAGUCGAAAUAAGCAGCAAUUGCUAGCAAUAUCCGAACAGACCUAAGCAUAGCUACUGGCGAGAAAGUCUCGUCGUAGUCCACUCCUGGAACUUGUGUGAACCCUUUCGCGACAAGUCUAGCUUUGUGGAUAGUAAUGUUACCAUCCGCAUCCGUCUUUCUUUUGAAAAUCCAUUUACAACCAAUGGGCUUUACGCCUUCUGGGAGUUCUUCCAAGUUCCAAACUUGGUUUUCGUACAUGGAUUCCAUUUCGGAUCUCAUGGCUUUGUGCCAUUCUUUUGAGCUGGGCCCCGCCAUCGCUUCCUUGUAGUGCGCAGGUUCAUCGUCUUCAAGAAUGAAGAUUUCGUUAUGAAACUACUCAGGUGGCUGGAUAGCCCUACCUGAUCUGCGCGGUUCAGUUACAACAUUGUCUAAUGUCUCCGCAUCACAUGCGACAACUUCCGGCUCGGUUGUAGGGAUAAUUAGCGGAAUUUCUUCCCGUUCCUUAGCCAUAUCAACGGUUGCCGAAGAUUCACUAAUCUCAUUGAGUUGUACUGUCCUCCCACUCACUUCUUUAGUGAGAAACUCUUUCUCAAGAAAGACUCCAUGUUUUGCAACAAACACUUUGUUCUCGGAGGCGUGGUAGAAAGAAUACCCAACUGUCUCCUUGGGAUAACCUACAAAGUAACAUUUGUCUGAUCUGGGAUCAAGUUUGCUUGGCUGUAAACGCUUUACAUAAGCUUCACAACCCCAAAUUUUGAAAAACGACAGGUCGGGUUUCUUCCCGUGCCACAUCUCAUGUGGCGUCGUCUCAACAGAUUUAGACGGUGCUUUGUUUAGUGUGUGAGCAGCAGUAAGUAGUGCGUGACCCCAAAAAGAUAUUGGAAGAUUUGUAAGAGACAUCAUUGACCUUACCAUGUCCAACAAGGUUCGGUUACGUCGUUCCGAUACUCCAUUUCUCUAUGGAGUUCCGGGAGGCGUAAGCUGUGAAACGAUUCCAUGAUCACUCAGAUGUUGGCCAAACUCAUGACUAAGAUAUUCGCCUCCGCGAUCAGACCGCAGAAACUUAAUCUUUUUGUUACGAUGAUUUUCUACCUCAUUAUGAAAUUCUUUGAACUUUUCAAAGGUUUCCGAUUUAUGCUUCAUUAAGUAGAUAUAGCCAUACCUACUCAAAUCAUCAGUAAAAGUCACGAAGUAAAAAUAUCCACCCCGUGCGCCUAUGUUCAUUGGACCACAUACAUCACUAUGUAUUAUUUCCAAUAAUUCACCCGCCCGUUCAGGAUGACCCGUGAACGGCGUCUUGGUCAUUUUCCCCAUCAGGCAAGCUUCACAUGUGUCAAAUGAUUCAAAAUCAAGGGACGGUAAAACUCCAUCUUUAUGGAGUCUUUGCAUGCGUUUCUUACCGAUGUGGCCAAGGCAACAGUGCCACAUGAAAGUGGUGGUGGUAUCAGCCUUCUUAAGGCGUUUAGCAUUCACGUUAAGGACAUCAUUUCCACAUUCAAGAUUUAGUAUGAAAAGGCCCCCAACAAUGGGUGCAAAUCCAUAAAACAUAUCCUUACAAUAAAGUGAACAACCAUUGUUCUCAGACUUGUACGAAUACCCAUCGUGUACCAAACAUGAUCCGGAGAUAAUGUUUCUACACAACAGUGGAACAAAAUAACAGUUACUUAGUUCUAAGAUAAAUCCUGAAGGGAGACGUAGAGGCAUAAUGCCGACGGCUUGAGCGGCGAUCCCAGCGCCGUUCCCGACGCGCAUCGCGACUUCAUUCUUUGCUAGCUUGCGCACCUUCUGAAGUCCCUGUAUCGAGUUGCAAAUGUGAGCAACCGAUCCGGUAUCAAAUACCCAUGACUUAGAGUUUUCGCUAGCAAGCAAAACGUCAAUGACAUUAACUUGUAUAACAAUUAUACCUUUUCCGGUUUUCCCGGUCUUCUUAUCUUCCAGAUACUUCUUGCAGUUUCUCUUCCAGUGUCCUGUGCCCUUGCAGUAGAAGCACUCAGUUUCAUUCUUGGCUCCGCCCUUAGAGUUGCUUUGGGAGCCGGUCUUACCGGUGCCCUUGCCCUUCUUUGGCUUGCCUUUCUUCUUUUUGAAACUGGCGGUUUUAUUCACAAGCAACACUUGCUUGCGAUUUUUCCGCAGUCCUCCUUCUGUAGUUUUCAGCAUGGCGAGCACUUCUUCCGGCGUCUUCUCCAUCCCUGUCAUGUUGUAGUUCAUGACAAAACCGUCGUAAGACGGGGGGAGUGAAGAAAGCAACAUGUCCAUCAUAUGGCCAGGUGGAAGUGGAAAUUCUAGGGCUUUAAGCCUUUCAGAAUAGCCAAUCAUUUUGACCACGUGUUCGCCAACUGAACUACCCUCAGCCAUCUUGCAAUCCAUCAAAGCCUUCAUGAUAUCAUAUAGUUCAGACUUUGCGGUUUCCUUGUACAGAGCAUCCAAUUCCCGGAUCAUAUCACGGGCUUUAUGGAAUUCAAAACGUUUUUGAAGCCCUGGACUCAUGCAAGCUAGCAUGAGGCACUGCACUAAGUUGUGAUCAUCAUCCUUAGUGGCCCAGACAUUUUGUUCAUCUACCGGUGCAUCUACCGCCGGUUUAGCUGGAAGAGCAGUUUCAAGCACGUACAAUUUCUUAGCGCUCCUGAGGACAAUCCUCAGGUUACGGACCCAGUCCGCAUAGUUGUUCCCAGUCGUAGCUAACUUCUCUUUCUCUAACAUCGGGCCUAAGUUGAACGCGGUGUUGCGAGCCAUUUGAUCUACAACGAAGACACAAGUUUCACUUAGACUUUGUUUAUAACUAGUGAAUAAACAUUUUAUUCUAAAAUGCACUCCCACUCAAAUCAAUAUCUCUCAAAAUUGAUUAUGAGUGAUUCAAGAUCCGUGUCUUGAUUGUUCGCCAUUGGUGUAACACCACUGAUGACGAAAAUCUUAACCGGUAGGCCAACUUGCCAAUCACAUCACUAUGUGACUCUUGUUCAUCUUUCGAUGCGUGUGUUCCGAGCUCAUGACGGUCAUGCCUGAACGUCAAGACAACCAAGUGAUCUCGCUGCGAGGUCUCAACUCACCCGCCUCACACUUCUCUAAUCGUUCGUACCCGUGUGACACGGCGCACCCCGAAAAGAUAGGUGUCGUGACGGUGCUACACUUGGGAGAACACUAUCUACUUGAUAUUUUUAAGUGAGAGAUCACCCUAAUAAAAGCGACUACCGCGCAAUCAAGAAGGGUGCAUCAUAGGGGACAAACAUCUCAGGCAAUUCAUAAUUAGCAUGAUAUGGUAUAGCCCUUUCUGACGGAGAAGUCUUUCAAUUCUUCGUCUUCGGCAUUUGCGUCGGUGUUCACCUUUGCGAAGAUUGCCACCACCUUGUCGAUGCACCAGAUAAUAUUGCUAUCUCUAUAGCUAAUAAAAUAAGUGCAUUACUUAAGGUUGACACGCAGGUCAUUAAAGUGCAAUCAUAUGGCUCCAGCCAUCAUGCAGAAUCAUGACACGCAGGUCAUGUUAGUUACGACAUAUAGUCAUCUCAUACAUAAUCAAAUUGAAUAUGAGCAUUGCUAUACCACAUCACAUGCACAUCCUGCAAAACCAAGUUAGACGCCUCUAAUCAGUUUAUGCAAAAUUUUAUUUUACGUGGCUUCUAAGGUUUUGACUUAAACCACAGCUACCAACGUUUUAUCAUCAAGUAUGAUUAUUCAAGUUGCUAGAUUAACAUCUCGGGGUGUAUGAAACACGAGAUAAUUAAAUCUCGAGCCCCAUACUAAACUUCGUCAUACGCAUGACCCCCGUGCAGAUCAUAUCUGCAAUGCCCUUUCAUCUGCGAAUUUCAUCUUUCUUUUGACUAUGGCAGAACCCAAAGAACUGAUAGCACUUCCAUGAUCAAUCAGGAUCACGGAUUGCCAGAACUUUGUCAAAUUCCACCAUGCUGUCUCGAGAUUGAGCAAACGCAAAUUCUAGGGAAGCAACAAGAACGUCGGGUAACAGAUUUCAUCUGUCACCCGCAUAAAUAAUUUUCAGCAAUAGAUCUCAUCUACUCCAAAAUUAUAUUAUGCAAUACCCAUACAUCUCCAUGUAUUCUAGAUCGUAACCUGCAUCUACGCAUAGCACGGCUCUUGAUGCCACUGUAGGGUAACUCGACAGAAAACGAAAAUUUUCGGUAUAGCGAGCACGCCCAGGACCACUAUGGAGACUGCAUAUAAGGUUUGAUCUGAUCCGUACCGACUCGAAGCGCAGCGGAAGAAGAGUCGGUGUAGAUCGUCGGUGCAGAUCCCCGCAGCUAGGAUUUACAGCCUCCCAACCGCGAGGAUGUACUCCCUCUCCGGACAGCCCUUCGGGAGGCGGUCGGACAGUCCCCCGGACAAUGUCGCGGAUAGCCCUUCGGGAGGACCCUCGAAACUCGGACGGAGACUCGGACAGCCCUUCAGCAGGACACUCGAACAGCCCCUCGGGCAAGAGAUCGAAACUACAAUCUCUCUACGGGGUUCCACACAUACGGUGUCAGCUAUCCGGUAGGGCUUCGCCGUCCAGAACUAGUUCCUGCCGGAACCCAGACAGCCUUACGGCUCUACGAAACUCUUUUCGUGGGAGGGAGAGAAGAAGCCUGAUAAUGCAUGGCAUGUGUAUGAGAGCAAGGGAUGAGCUUUGGGCUGCCCACUCCUCCUCUAUUUAUAGGAAAGCCAAGGGGUAGGGAUGGCUCACAAAAACCCAAAAUGCCCAUGCAAAUGUCACACAUGAAGGGCAUAAUGGGGAGUGAAGUGGAGCUCCAUGGAGCCCCACACAUGUGGCCGGCCAACCCCCUUGGGCGACCCCCAUGAGGAGCAUGCUUGGCCCCCAAGCCCUUCUAGAAGCCUUUUGGAGAUAUCCCAAAAGGUGACUCACCAUAAAAUAUCCCAAAAAGCACUUUCACUAUUCACGACGACAUUUUUCAGCGUCUGUUCGAACUGAAAAUAUUUAUGUGGGCUUAGAACAUUUCCAGUACCCACCAAAAUUAUUUUCAACGCGUUCCGAAACAAUUCCGGUUUAGUGAUUUUCAUCUGCGAAAAGCAUCUGAAGUGGCUCCGGCAGCUCCGGAACAUUUCCGGUUUUUAUCUCAGAAAAUUCCAAAAAGCUUCCAGAAUGAUUCUGGCAUCCUCCAAGAAUUAUCAGGCAUGUGCCGAAACCAAUUUGACUUAAUGGUGUAUCCCGAAACAACUUUUCGGUAUCAUCGAAACUUAUCCGAUGACCUCUCUCUGCGGUACAAUUCCGCUGUCCGAAACUUUUCGGUGUCCGAAACUUUUUCGGUGAUUUUCUCUCAGACUCCCUGUCUAGUAUUCAGCAGAUAGAUGACCCUUAAGCGUGUGACCCUAUAGGUUCGGUGAAGUAUAGACAUGACCUGGAACCCCUUCCGAUCAAUGAUCAACAUCGGAGCCGUGGACACCCAUAUUGACCCCUAUACCCACACGAAUGAAUAUUCGAGUGAACCUCCAGUUGCAGUGAGCUAUUCCUGUUGCUUCGCGAUAUGUCACAAACACCCGAGGUGAGAUUUAUUGCAUGCCCAUGGACGAACAAUUUGUCCACCAUGCAAGUUACCUCGUUACCGGUUUUGUUCUCUUUUCUCGUUUCCGUGUUCCGGCAUCCCAGUGAUCAAAUCACAAUGUGUCUGGCCAGACGAUGAUGGAUACCAUUACACCGAGAGGGCCCGAGUAUAUCUCUCCAUCGUCGGAGGAGCAAAUCCCAAUCUUGAGCUAUCUUGUUACUUCCUAUACUUUUCCGUGAACCCAAAAGCUGCCGUAAUAGCCACCCAGUUACGGAUGACGUUUAACAAACCCCAAAGUUCACGAAGCAAGCACGAAGGAACUUGAUACUCUCAUGGUCUAAGGAAUUAUGCAAACAUUAACUAUCUCAAUGAUAUUAACCAUAAACUUGUGACGAAGGUAUCUCAUAGCAUAACAUCAAUCCGGGUUGAUUCAACACAAGCGUUCUACCAAACUUGUGCCCUCAAAAUUGCCGGCAUAGUCAUGCCCAUGAUCAGGAAACAGGAUCAUCAUGCAAUACUUGAGCUAGUCUUAGAGGCAAGACUAGGAAUAUAUUUUACCGUUUAUUAUACCACACGUGCAUAUGAGUUCCCUCCGAGCCUCGUGGAUAUUGUAGACUCGAGAAUCAUUGCAGUUAUAGCAUGGAUCAUAAACAUUCAUUACAAACUUGGAGAUACAAAAUAACUGUUAUUACUGCCUCUAGGGCAUAUCUCCUACAUGACUUUCUUCAUCCGGAAAAUCAUGAACUUCUCGAUCCUUGAGAAAAGAUCCCUUCAAGAACUCAUCACCACCGUGCGCAGGCCCCACGGUGGGCACCAACUGUCAUGGUUUUGUCACGGCAGAUGUCCUUAGUGUCAGGACUUAGUCGCGAGGCCAGCGCAUCUAUGUGGUAGCUUGAGAGGGGUUGAGCGGAAUCGAGAGACGCAACACACAAGACAAGGAUUUAGACAGCUUCGGGCCCCUGGAAACAUCAUCCGGUAAUAGCCCUACAUGCUGUUUGUGGCUAGGUCUCAUUAUCAUCAUGAGGGAGUCGCCGGUAAACCGGCUCUUUGUGUCUAGCCCUAGAGAUUGUUUCUUCUUGCUUGUCCCUCUUUGGGGUGCCCUGCCCCUCCUUAUAUAUCUUGAAGGGGCGGGUUACAUGUGUAGUCCUAUUAGGAUUGGGACUAGUCUAUCUCUAAUACAAACCGGAUACAAGUCCUGGUCUUAACUCAUUGUAAGGUAAAUAUUCAUCAUGCCUUUCCUCUUAAACCGGCCCACCAUAGUAUGAACCGGCCUUCAUGAACCGCCCGUUGGGCCACUGGGUCUUGUCGCUCCUCUGACCCACCUACCGGAUUACCAAUGAAUCGUAAACCGCCAGGUCCAAACGGGUCGCCAGUGAAUCGUCAAGUCUUAGCCGGGUCUCAAGUAAACCGCCAAGUCCGGCCGGGUUAUACUUUCCGGCCGGUUUGCGCCGCGAGGUAUAUCCCCGAUAGGAAGUAAGGCCGUGUGAGUGGCCAUGUGAUAAUUUCUUGAGAGCAGCCGGGAUUUACGAAGACUUUUAUUUAUUGGCUGAAACUGCGGGACUCACCAACUUCCUCCACGACCGGAUCGAACAGUAUCUCUUACUUACCAAUACUUUCGUGCAAAACUUUUACUAUCAUCCUAAGAAUUCACCUCCUUCAGUAUCUUUCCAUCUAUAUGAUGAGGCUAAGGAAAUGUCAUUACGUGAUUUUUGCGCAGUUUGUAGAAUACCGUUUGAGGGCAGCUCAGAUGAACCACAGCGUAAAGAUGUGGAAGGUUUUAUCAACACCAUUACUGUAGAGGAACCGAGGAAGGGUUCCGAUGCGAGAAUCACUAGCAUGCAUUUUCCUGUUUUACGCUACUUUGCCAUAUUUGCUAGUCGAUGCUUAAUUGGUCGUGGAAAUAGUGGAAACUUCAGUGUUCCUGAUAUCAUUAUUCUGUUCCAUGCCUUGUUUGGUGAUAACAGUUUUAGUAUGGGUGUCGUUAUUGCUAAACGGCUGAGCCUGAACCGUACAAAGGGCCCCAUUUUUGGAGGUAUCUAUGUUGCACGCCUUGCUAGACAUUUUGCGAUACCUGUUAGGCAUUAUGAGGAAGAUGAAACACUGCUGCCCUCUACCUUUUUAGAUUACAGAAGCAUGGUAGCACAUGAGUUUAUUGUUAACAACGAGAUAAGAUGCUUCUGUAUAACCUGAGAUUUAGUAAGAAACACAAUGAGAUUAUUACCCUGCCCGCGCCUUCUUUGUUUGAUUUAACUGCAGGUCAUUACCUCGUCUUACCGUCGGCCGUGUACGCGCACCGAGGCCACACACCGCUCCAGAGCCUGAGGCGGAACCUCCACUGGACCCUUAUCGUCCAUCCUGUUAUCAGUGGGAUCCGGAGGAGAUCGCUAGUCAGUGGCAAUACGAUGAUACUCCUCAUUACACCAGGGAGAGUAGCCGCGAUCCAUUGGCAUUAGACCAACUUAGGCCAAAAGCCUAAGCUUGGGGGAGUGUGUAUUUCUCACCGACUUUACAUUCAUGUUCACACAUUUAUUCUAGUUGUCGGUGCUCAUACUUUUCAUUGUAUUAUCCAUGCUAGUUUAAUAUAUUUUUCCAGCUUUCUUCUUGUGUGUUUGAUAAACCUUAAGAAAAACCAAAAAAAAAUUAGUUAGUUUAAUUUCAAUGCUUGUAGAAUUAAAAAGAAAACCCCAAAAGAUUUCUCAUUUUUCUUUUACUUGUUGGGAGCUUUCCCGUGUAAAUAGUUUUAUUUCUUUUUCGCUUCUUUUGGGGGUCGAGAGUAGAAGACCAUAAUGAAAAUGUUUAGUGGCUCUAAUAUGCAUGAUUGUUGAUUUAACUUAGAGCCCAUAUUACUUUGUCUCCUCUCUUGAAUUGAAUGCUUGCAGAUUCCAGCUUAGUCCAAUGCACGCGCACUAUUAUUAUUAUACACACCGUUCGGUCGUGCGAGUGAAAGGCAAUAAUGACGAAUAUGAUGGACUGAUUGGGAUGAGAGAAGCUGUUAUGAACUCGACCUCUCUUGUUUUUGUAAAUAUGAUGAGUUCAUCGUUCCUGAUUCAGCUCAUUAUGAAUAAACAUGUUUGCAAUUACAUUUAGAGAUUAUAGUUGCUUAUGCCAUGCUUAAUUAGCUAUGAGUUACAAUGGUUUACCUUGCAUGCCAACAUGCUAUUAAAAUAGUUGUGAUGUGGUAUGAUGGGAUGGUAUCCUCCUUUGAAUGAAUUGAGUGACUCGACUUGGCACAUGUUCACGCAUGUAGUUGAAAACAAAUCAACAUAGCCUUCAUGAUAUUUAUGUUCAUGGUAGAUUAUAUCCUACUCAUGCUUGCACUCGGUGUAAAUUAAUUUUAAUGCAUGUUCAUGACUGUUGUCGCUCUCUCAGUUGGUCGCUUCCCGGUCUUUUUGCUAGCCUUCACCUGUACUAAGCGGGAAUAUUGCUUGUGCAUCCAAAUUCCUUAAACCCCAAAGUUAUUCCAUAUGAGUCCACCGUACCUUCCUAUAUGCGGUAUUUACCUGCCGUUCCAAGUAAAUUUGUAUGUGCCCAACUCCAAACCUUCAAAUGAAAUUAUGUUUUGUAUGCUCGAGCAGCUCAUGUAUCAACUAGGGUUGUCUAUAUCUUCCAUGCUAGGUGGGUUAUUCUCAAGAGGAGUGGACUCCGCUCCUCAUUCACGACAAAAUGGCUGGUAACCGGGAUGCCCAGUCCCAUGCUUUAAGCAAAUCAAAUUAAAAUAAUUACAAACAAAACUCCCCCGGGACUCUUGUUAGUUGGAGGCACUCGUUGUUUCAAGCAAGCCAUGGAUUGAUGCUUGUUGGUGGAGGGGGAGUAUAAACUUUACCAUUCUGUUUGGGAACCGCCUAUAAUGUAUGUAGCAUGGAAGAUAUUGCCAUAUCUUGGUUGUUGCGUUGACAGUGAAAGUAUACCGCUCAAAAUAUUAUUCAUCUCUAUUUUAAAACUGAGCUCUGACACCUCUACAAAUCCCUGCUUCCCUCUGCGAAGGGCCUAUCUAUUUACUUUUAUGUUGAGUCAUCACCUUCUUAUUAAAAAGCACCCGCUGGAGAGCACUGCUGUCAUUUGCAUGCAUUACUAUUAGUUUAUAUUGGGUAUGACUUGACUGGAUCUCUUUUACCAUGAAUUACAAUGUUUAGUCAGUCCUUGAUCUUUAAAGAUGCUCUGCAUUUAUGUUUUGCGGUCUCAGAAAGGGCUAGCGAGAUACCAUCUUGUUAUAUCAUAUUAUGAUUGUUUUGAGAAAGUGUUGUCAUCCGAGUUUUAUUAUUAUAGCUCGCUAGUUGAUUAUGCCAUUGAUAUGAGUAAACAUGGGACCUAAGUGUUACUGUUAAUAUGGUUAGUUCAUAAUCUUUGCUGAAAACUUGAAUGCUGGCUUGAUAUAUUUACAACAACAAGAGCAAAUAGAGUUUGUCAAAGUUUUUUCUUUAUCACUUUCAGUUUGUCAACUGAAUUGCUUGAGGACAAGCAAAGGUUUAAGCUUGGGGGAGUUGAUACGUCUCCAACGUAUCUACUUUUCCAAACACUUUUGCCCUUGUUUUGGACUCUAACUUGCAUGAUUUGAGUGGAACUAACCCGGACUGACGCUGUUUUUCAGCAGAAUUGCCAUGAUGUUAUCUUUCUGCAAAAAACAAAAGUUCUCGGAAUGACUUGGAAAUCCACGGAGAUUAUUUUUGGAAAAUAAGAAAACUACUGGCGAAAGAAUCAAGGCCAGGGGGCCCACACCCUGUCCAGGAGGGUGGGGGCGCACCCUCUCCCCCUGGGCGCGCCCCCUGUCUCCUGGGCACCCUGGAGCUCCACCGACCUCAACUCCAACGCUAUAUAUUCCGUUUCGCGGAGAAAAAAAUCAGAGAGAAAGUUUCAUCGCGUUUUACGAUACGGAGCCGCCGCCAAGCCCUAAUCUCUCUCGGGAGGGCUGAUCUGGAGUCCGUUCGGGGCUCCGGAGAGGGGAAUUCAUCAUCGUCGUCAUCAUCAACCAUCCUCCAUCACCAAUUUCAUGAUGCUCACCGCCGUGCGUGAGUAAUUCCAUUGUAGGCUUGCUGGACGGUGAUGAGUUGGAUGAGAUUUAUCAUGUAAUUGAGUUAGUUUUGUUAGGGUUUGAUCCCUAGUAUCCACUAUGUUAUGAGAUUGAUGUUGCUAUGACUUUGCUAUGCUUAAUGCUUGCCACUAGGGCCCGAGUGCCAUGAUUUCAGAUCUGAACCUAUUAUGUUUUCAUGAAUAUAUGUGAGUUCUUGAUCCUAUCUUGCAAGUCUAUAGUCACCUAUUAUGUGUUAUGAUCCGACAACCCCGAAGUGACAAUAAUCGGGAUACUUCUCGGUGAUGACCGUAGUUUGAGGAGUUCAUGUAUUCACUUAGUGCUAAUGCUUUGUUCCGGUUCUCUAUUAAAAGGAGGCCUUAAUAUCCCUUAGUUUCCACUAGGACCCCGAUGCCACGGGAGGGUAGGACAAAAGAUGGCAUGCAAGUUCUUUUCCAUAAGCACGUAUGACUAUAUUCGGAAUACAUGCCUACAUUACAUUGAUGAACUGGAGCUAGUUCUGUGUCACCCUAGGUUAUAACUAUUGCAUGAGGAAUCGCAUCCGACAUAAUUAUCCAUCACUGAUCCAAUGCCUAUGAGCUUUUCACAUAUUGUUCUUUGCUUAUUUACUUUUCUGUUGCUACUGUUACAACCACUACAAAACCCAGAAAUAUUACUUUUGCUACUGUUAUCAUUACUAUCAUAUUACUUUGCUACUAAAUACUUUGCUGCAGAUACUAAGUUAUCCAGGUGUGGUUGAAUUGACAACUCAACUGCUAAUACUUGAGAAUAUUCUUUGGCUCCCCUUGUGUCGAAUCAAUAAAUUUGGGUUGAAUACUCUACCCUUGAAAGCUGUUGUGAUCCCCUACACUUGUGGGUUAUUAGUACCUCAGCCACCGUACGUUGGGCAGAGAUUUGAUUCAUUCGCAGAAGAAAAGGAAUUCUACCAGACAUAUGCAAAGUUCCAUGGGUUUGCGGUCAACACCGAAUACCAUAGGAAAAUUAAGAAAACUAACGAGUACAGCAGAGGUGAGAUGAGGUGCUACAAGGCACGAAGGAACAAGAAGGGGAAAGGUGUUGCGCCUGUCGUUCCGAAAUGAAAGAGAGGUAUCAUUCUCAAGACGGAAUGCCCUGUCCGGUGUAAGCUAAACGUAGAUGGAGCACGGUGGGUGGUCACUGAAUAUUUUGACGAGCACAAUCACGAACUCAUAAAGAAGUUCGACCUGGUAAAAUUUCUGACCGCCCACAGAGGAUUCACCCCCCUCGAGAAGAAAUUCAUGAAGCUGCUACAUGAUUGUAACGUCGGUCCAUCAAGAAUGGUCCAGAUACUAUCACUCGUCCACAGCAAAAAAGGGAAUCUGAGUAGCAUGCCCUACAUACCAGCUGACAUCACAAACCUAAAGGCAAAGUACCGUAGAGAGAGCAAGUUGGCUGACAUAGAGGCCACAAUGGCCUACUUCGAUGAGAAAGCGAAGGAAGAUCCAGAUUUCUUCUACAGGAUAAGAUUGGACGAUGAGGACCAUGUCAGGAACAUGUAUUGGGUGGAUGGUGCUGCAAGAAGAGCCUACAAACAUUUCCGAGAUUGCACUUCAUUCGACGCGACAUAUCUCACUAAUAUGUACAAGAUGCCAUGCGCUCCAUUCAUAGGAAUAAAUAACCACAAUCAGUCAUUGCAGUUCGGAUGCGGGCUCGCUCGGAAUGAAGACACGUAUGGGUACACUUGGCUGUUCAAGACCUUCUUGGAGUGCAUGGAUGGACUUGCUCUGAUGAACAUAAUAACAGACCAGGAUUUUAGCAUGCGUGCAGGCAUAGAGGAGGUCUUUCCGUUGGCAGUGCACAGGCACUAUAGGUGGCACAUUAUAAAGAAGGCUGAGGAGACGCUAGGACCAUUCUUUGCUGACCGUCCAGAGCUACACAAGGCAUUCGAGCUGUGCGUGGACCACAGCUUGACGGUGGAGGAGUUUGAAAGGAGCUGGAUGGCCAUGAUUGAAACAUAUCAAGUCCAAGACAACGAGACUCUUGCUAGCCUGUGGGAGAAGCGAAUGUACUGGGUGCCGGCCUACUUCAUGCAGUGCUUCUUCCCGUUUCUGCGGACUACGCAGCGCAGCGAGGGGUUCAAUGUUGUUUUGAAGCGGUACGUGAGCCCUGACAACUCAUUGCUACAGUUUGCCAAGCAAUACACGGCUUUGCAACAAAAAAUACUGGGAUCUGAGCUACAGCAAGAAGCGAACACCGCGCUAAAGCAGCCAAAAUUGCUAACGUAUUUACCGAUGGAGAGGCAAAUGAGCAAGAUAUACACCAACAAGAUCUUUAACAAGUAAGUCAGUUGUGUUGCAAUCUUAUUUGCACAAGCAUGAAGGUAGUAGGUGCCAUAUAGAAUGCAAUGCAGUUGAAAAGCUUAUUUGAAAAUGAUGAUUUCUUGAAAAGUAGUCAUUGAGUACGGAGUAACCAUGAUAUGUAGUUGUCAUGUUUAAAGAACUACUGUUUGCCAUGUUUACUCAACUGCAGUUGCCAUGUUUAAUGAAAUGCAGUUGCCAUGUUUAAUACACUGUACUUCCAUUGGGCAUGUUGGUAUGGAAAUGCCAAUGCCAAUUGAAAAUGUUAUGCAGUUGCCAUGUUUAAUGAACUGCAGUUGCCAUGUUUAAUGAACUACAGUUGCCAUGUUUAUUGAACUAUAGUUGCCAUGUUUAAUGAACUGCAAUUGCCAUGUUUAAUGUACUGCAGUUGCCAUGUUUAAUGUACUACAGUUGCCAUGUUCAAACGAAAUGUACUUCUAUUUGCCACGACAACAUAAGGUGCAAAAAAAAACAGCACACAAUAGUUUAACAAAAAACACACAAAACUUGCAGAUUCUAGGAAGAAAUAAAGUGUGCCAGCAUGUUCACGGCUUUCCAGGUGGACGAAGAUACGUUCAAGGUGUGUUCUAUUUUGGGCAUGUCAGAUUCAGAACCUGAAGACCCGGACAAAGGAAGGAACUACUUCGUGAAAGCCUCGAUAGGCCAAGGCGAAUACUACUGCCAAUGCUGCAAAUUCGAACGGGGCGGCAUUGUGUGCUGUCACAUACUAAAAGUAAUGGGCAUGAACGCGGUGACACGUAUGCCCAGCCAUUUCAUAAGGCGGCGAUGGACUUGGGACGCUGACGACGCAUUGGCGCUGCAGACAACAAACGCAGUUUUGGCUGUGCAUGACGAGAGACCGGAGUCAACCAUGGAAGCCAUGAGGCACGUUGUGUUGACAAAGAACUAUGCUGAACUAAUUGAUGACGCGUGAAAGAGUGAUGAGACAACGAGGGUCGCAGAAAAACACAGGAAGGCCCUGAAAAGAGAGCUUGGUGAGAUCAAGAAGAGGAAAGCUGAGGAAGCCUUACACAGGUUCCCCCGCACAUCAAGUGUGCCUUCGUCCACGGGGCCAUCAUCUGAAAACUCGGAGAUAGGAUCUGGAACAGCAAGCACACAAACCCAGGUCAGGAACCCGCCCUGUUCCAUCACAAAGGGGCGUCCAAAAGACAUAAGAUACAAAUCGGGAUUGGAGCUUCAAGCAAAACACAAGAAAACAAAGAAAGGGACGGGCAAUCCGUAAGCAACAUUGGAGCAUUGUGACAUGGUCCUUGGUGACAUUUUAUUUUGGAAUCUAGAUGUUCUUAAUUUUUUAAAAAUGGGAGAAUGACUCUUGAGGGGCAUCAGAAGUUGAAGGAAAAUGCCAUGAAUGGAUAACUGCAGUUGCCACGUGUAUGGUACUUAAUUUGCCGUGUUAUGUAUACUUAAUCUGCCAUGUUAUGUAUAGUUAAUCUGCCAUGCUAUUUUAUACUGAAUCUGCCAUGCUAUUUUAUACUAAAUCUGCCAUGAUAUUUUAUACUAAACCUGCCAUGUUCUAUGUACUGGAUCUGCCAUGUUAUGUAUACUGGAUCUGCCAUGUUAAGUAUACUGGAUCUGCCAUGUUAUUUAUACUGAAUCUGCCGUGUUGUUUAUACUGAAUCUGCCAUGUUAGUUCUACUGAAAUACGCCAUGUUAUUUGUAAUGACUAUGCAUCACGUAUAUUUCCGUGUUCAUUCAACGCAUUUUAGUCACACAUAAUGUGUUGUGUGCAAUCUAUGGGAAACAAGUUGAAAAGCGUCACGUGCAGCAACCGCAAAAAGGUUACGGCUACAUGAUCAAACUACCAUGCUAGCCGGUACAGUUAGCGAUGAAAAAAAAGAACCAAACAGACAAAUGAAAAACGACGAUAAUUUUCACUAACUAUGUCUGAUGAACUACAUUUGCCAUGUUUUAAAACAUCGUAGACGCAUUCGAAACACCAAACUGGUGCUACCAACGAUGAAAGCAUAAUAAUAAUGAUAAACAUAAAUGUAUCUGCUGUCAUGCCUAAAUAUGUUCACAUCCACACAUAUAUUACAGAAAAUAUUCAAAUGUUGCCCACACACCACCACUACAUGCUAGGCUACGCGGGGUUGCAGUCAUAACAUAGCACACGGACAUAGUUUUGAAAAGAACAAAGGUAGUACCUUACAUUCCUCGGCAACAGAAUGUAAGGUAGGCGUUCGGUAUAGAGCACCACGUGAUCACUUGUACUUCUUGGUGACUUUCUUGACAGCUUCCUCUACGAACUCACGUGCUCCGGACCGCUUGUUGAAAUCUACAUUCGUCAACCAGUUCCAUGUGUAAAUUUUCCGAAGCUCAACGACCAUUGCAGCUGUGACAACAGGAACCAGUCUACCUUCCCACUUUGCAAGGUAUUCCAACGUGUGAAAGCCACAGUCCGUCCUGUACAAGAAAAGAAUCAGGUGAACUCGCAAAGGACAGAGAUAACAAUGAUAAACUUCAAUUCAAAUGUAACAAAGAGGGUUAGCAUUGGUGUAGAGGACAGAUGAAGAAAGAGAUGGGAAAUUACUUGUUCCCUUGCUUCGUAGUCACCACGUACUCAAUUGGAAAAUGUCUGAUCUGGACCUUUGAGUGUUCGUAGUGAUGGUUCCAUGUCUCUUUGAGGUUGUUGAUGAAGUAUUCAGCAUGCGUAGUAAGGCCUGCAUCAGCUGCCGAACGCAUUGAAUCAAGCACCUCAAAACGUUGGUUCUUCAAGUCAAGGCAGAUCGCGUAGUGGUGACCACACUUGUCGUGCGGGUCAUGUGGUGCAAGCUCCUGGAACAUGGGGAACAGGACCUGCAAGUAAAAUGAAGGAAAGAAGAAGCAGAUUUCACAUGAAGAACAGAAAAUGGUGUAAUUGGGAAAAUGACGUGUAAGGAUAUCACCGGUUGCGGUAAGAGGCACAUGAGUGACAUAAAGCAGCAAGGGGCCAAAAAGUAGAAUCACAUAGAAAUGUUUAGUUAUAGUGGGUACUUAUAAGAAGUUGCCAUCCAUGUAUGAACAAAGUUGCCCUGUAUUUUACUUUGAAGUUGCCACAUAGUUUGUACGGGGAUGCAAAUCAAAAGUCAGUUUACAUGGCAGCUGUUGCCACAUGAAACAGCUGCCACAUAAACAGGGUGUAGCUACUGGCAAAAAACAUACCAUGGGAGGAAAAAAUGUGCAAAAAGGGAAGGAGUACUCACACAUUUCUUCAUUGUGAGCUUGAAUUCACCGUGCGCGGCAAAAUGCUUCCUCGGGAUUUUGUGGUGGAAGUCACCAUCCCAUAUUUUGCAGGUCACACUGUAAUGCAUGAUUGUUUUGUCGGGAGACAUAUCCAUAUGCUUGUUGAUGAAGUCAAUCCCACAUGCAACUACAUUCAUCAACAUUUUACCGAGUGGCCUCACGGACUCGGCAAGAUCACCCAGGUCGACGUACGUCGCUUCGCAUUGUAUGACCUUGGUUCUGUCCAAACAUGAGUUGUAUGAAAAUGAUAUAACAUGAAAGAAUCAUGUCUACUAAGUAAAAAAAGAAGAGAUAAAACGUAAACGGAUCAUAUCUAGAAAGUAGAAAAAAGAUGAAUGGUAAAAAGAGCAAAGCAAAAUGAGAGGUUAUGUGGUGUGGUCAUUACGCUUUCAGCUCCUUCAUGUGCUUGCUGCUGGCCCUCGCAUUUCCAAAUCGCUUGACAAUAUCGUACAGCUGGUUCUGCUCCUUUGUGGCCUUGACUUCGGGCUCGUAGUCAUCCGCGGGAGGUGGGUGAACUACCCUCUGCUGCCUCACAGAACCAGGGGUGGCACUUCUAAUGGUAUCCUCAGAUACCGUCUCAACAGGCACGUUGGAACUUGAUUGCCCCUGACCUCGUGAGGACCUCCUCUGCAAUGCUGCCUCCUCAAUCCCGCGGUAAACUUCAUCAAGUGACGGCGAAAUCUCCUCAGGGGUGCCUGCAAGGAUCAAAAAGUGGGUUAGGAUACCUGGAAAACAAAACAAAUGUAGUGUGAAAAGAAAAAGGUGCAUGUUAUGAAAUGUAGGUACAAAAAGUAGGGAGUUGCCAUGUGGAGGCAAAUCCAGUUGCCAUGUGUAUUGCACUAUAAUUGCCAUGUGAAAGCAACUGCAGUUGCCAUGUUGUGUCAACUCCAGUUGCCAUGUGGUUGCCGAAUCAAAAAUGCAGCAUGGAAACAAAAAUGCAGGUGACAUGUUGCAGCAAAUCCAGUUGCCAUGUGUAGUGCAUUGUAGUUGCCAUGUGAGAACAAGUACAGUUGCCAUGUUGUAUCAACUUCAGUUGCCAUGUGGUUGCCGAAUGGAAAAUGUAGGUGACAUGGUGCAGCAAAUCCAGUUGCCAUGUCAUCACAUAACAGUUGCCAUCACAGGUGAGAACCCCAAAAAAAUUGCUUGGGAAAAAAGUCAGACUACACAGAUGUAUACAAGAAAAUGAUAAGCGCAGAAGAAAUGUACCUUGGAUGAUCGGCUCUGCGAACUUGACAGCCUUCCUGCCCUCGACCAUUGGCUGCGCCAUCAUUGCGGCCAUGCCUCCCGGGAAAGCAAAGGCAAAUGGCGUAGGAUCUUGCACCACUGGUUGAUCUUGACUGAUGCCAAGGCUAAAGCUCGGUGGGGUGAAGGCCAUUGGGUGCCUCUCAUGCCUACUGGCCGGACCACGAACAACUUGCGGGGCAGAAUCCAAGGGUGAGAGAUCAACAAACAUAUCUGAAUCGGCCGCUGCAGAAUCAUCGGGCUUAUUCGUAGGGCGGGGCGUGUUGUCAGCGGUAUCAGCCGCAGCUUUCUAGACAAUCUUCUUGUUUGGGCUGUAGGGGACACCAACAUUGACUGGGAGCUUGGAAGUGCGCAGAUUUAGGCUGGGGUUCUCCACUGCGGGUAAAGACGCAGUCUGCUCCGGACGUUCACCUCCAUCACUCGUGCCCGGCUUGACACCUGCAUCAGUUGUACUCCGGUCUUCCGGUUUCUCCAUAACAUUGCUUUUGGCAGGUGGUGGGAACAGUGUGGAUGCAGGAACAUAACCAGACUCAUCUCUGCUGCUCCUAGCUACAGCCGGUGCGUUGGGUAUGUCUGUUGAUUGCUUGCGGGGGCUACGAUGCCUAGGUGGAAGACCAGCUCGCGAAACAAUCACCUUAGCAACCUCUGCACCACCAGGAGCUGGAGCUGUUGUGCCAAGACUCUCACCUGUAGAUGGCAUAUCAUUAUGAACUGCCGCCUCAGCCACUUCUGUCGUGGACACAGGAGUGCCACCACGCAUGCGCUUGGAAUCCGUGUCAGAUGAGCGGGAAUCUUCCUUGCUUAGGUUGGUCUCGGGGGCGUCCACUUCAACGCUUGCUGAUGGGGUGGCAUGGCUCACAGCAGCAUCCUUCAUUGCCAGCAGAGUGGGCAAUAUUUCAGCAGUCCUGGCAGAUACCGACUCGUCACUCCCCGAUGUAUGGAUGCCUGUUGUUGUAGCCUGCACAUCUGCAACCGGCGGAGAUGGUCGGCCACUUGCGUCAGAGUUAGUGGGAACAGUUGACGGUGCAGCAGCAGUUUUGUCGACUGGCGCCUCAUGAACAUAUGAGUUGCCACCUGUUGACAACUUUGAAUGAAGGCGUUCGAGUUGGUCCCUAAUGAUAUGCUUGGCUGCGCGUGUAGUAGUCUUCUUCACCCUGCAAAAAGAAAAGCACAUGAAAAGGUAUUAGAAAUGAACAAAAAAUAUUUGCCACGGUAGAAAUCUUAAAAAAUGAAAAGUAGGUGGAAAGCUGGUAGUUGCCAUGUAGUUGGAAUAAGAGUUGCCAUGUGGCAUAGUUAGCAGUUGCCAUGCAAAACCAGCAAGAGUUGCCAUGCUAGCCAACUUGAAGAAUGAAAAAAAUGUCUGAUCUGCCAGGAAUGCAAUUUCAAAACUAGGUAUCGGAUGAGCACACAAGCCAAUGGAAAGAUGGUAGUUGCCAUGUAGGUACAAUAAGAGUUGCCAUUUGGCCUAGAUAUUAGUUGCCAUGCAAAAACAAGCAGGAGUUGCCAUGCAGUUAAAAAAAGAGAUCAUUGGGAAAACAGCAGUUGCCAUGUGGGACUGAUGACAGUAGUGAAGGAAAUAUGCCCUAGAGGCAAUAAUAAAGUUAUUAUUUAUUUCCUUAUAUCAUGAUAAAUGUUUAUUAUUCAUGAUAGAAUUGUAUUAACCGGAAACAUGAUACAUGUGUGAAUACAUAGACAAACAGAGUGUCACUAGUAUGCCUCUACUUGACUAGCUCGUUGAUCAAAGAUGGUUAUGUUUCCUAGCCAUAGACAUGAGUUGUCAUUUGAUUAACGGGAUCACAUCAUUGGGAGAAUGAUGUGAUUGACUUGACCCAUUCCGUUAGCUUAGCACUCGAUCAUUUAGUAUGUUGCUAUUGCUUUCUUCAUGACUUAUACAUGUUCCUAUGACUAUGAGAUUAUGCAACUCCCGUUUACCGGAGGAACACUUUGUGUGCUACCAAACGUCACAACGUAACUGGGUGAUUAUAAAGGUGCUCUACAGGUGUCUCAGAAGGUACUUGUUGGGUUGGCGUAUUUCGAGAUUAGGAUUUGUCACUCCGAUUGUCGGAGAGGUGUCUCUGGGCCCACUCGGUAAUGCACAACACUAUAAGCCUUGCAAGCAUUGCAACUAAUGAGCUAGUUGCGGGAUGCUGUAUUACGGAACGAGUAAAGAGACUUGCCGGUAACGAGAUUGAACUAGGUAUUGAGAUACCGACGAUCGAAUCUCGGGCAAGUAACAUACCGAUGACAAAGGGAACAACGUAUGUUGUUAUGCGUUUUGACCGAUAAAGAUCUUCAUAGAAUAUGUGGGAGCCAAUAUGAGCAUCCACGUGCCGCUAUUGGUUAUUGACCGGAGACUUGUCUCGGUCAUGUCUACAUAGUUCUCGAACCCGUAGGGUCCGCACGCUUAAAGUUAGAUGCUGGUUAUAUUAUGAGUUUAUGUGUUUUGAUGUACCGAAGGAGUUCGGAGUCCUGGAUGAGAUCAGGGACAUGACGAGGAGUCUCGAAAUGGUCGAGGCGUAAAGAUCGAUAUAUUGGACGACUAUAUUCGGACUUUGGAAAGGUUCCGAGUGAUUCGUGUAUUUUUUGGAGUACCGGAGAGUUAUGAGAAUUCGUAUUGGGCCUUAAUGGGCCAUAUGGGAAAGGAGAGAAAGGCCCCAAAGGGUGGCCGCACCCCUCCCCAUGGACUAGUCCGAAUUGGACUAGGGAGAGGGGGCGCCCCCUUCCUUCCUUCUCCUUCUCCCUUCCCUUCUCCUACUCCAACAAGGAAAGGAGGAGUCCUACUCCCGGUGGGAGUAGGACUGCCCCCUUGGCGCGCCCUCCUCCUAGGCCGGCCGCCUCCCCCCUUGCUCCUUUAUAUACAGGGGCAGGGGGCACCCCAAAGACACAACAAUUGAUUGUUUGAUCUCUUAGCCGUGUGCGGUGCCCCCCUCCACCAUAGUCCACCUCGAUAAUAUCGUAGCGGUGCUUAGGCGAAGCCCUGCGUCGGUAGAACAUCAUCAUCGUCACCACGCCGUCGUGCUGACGGAACUCUCCCUCGAAGCUUUGCUGGAUCGGAGCUCGCGGGACGUCAUCGAGCUGAACGUGUGCUGAACUCGGAGGUGCCGUGCGUUCGGUACUUGGAUCGGUCGGAUCGUAAAGACGUAUGACUACAUCAACCGCGUUGUGCUAACGCUUCCACUUUCGGUCUACGAGGGUACGUGGACAACACUCUCCCCUCUCGUUGCUAUGCAACCAUGAUCUUGCGUGUGCGUAGAAAUAUUUUGAAAUUACUACGUUCCCCUUCAAGUAGCCCAUGUGGCAAGCUAAACAGAUGCAUUGAAAAAUAAAAAAUAUAGCACUAUGGCAAUGAAAGGACAGGGAAAACCUACUUCUUGACUGGCUUUCUCAUGUCUGGCAACACGACAGGAUCCCCGGUGUUGGACGUCGUCGUACGAGGAGAUGACCUGGUGGAAGGGGUGUCACCAGCAAUGGGGGCACCUUUGUUCAAUCGAGCAGAAACACGGGUUGGCGUUGGUGCCUGUUUCUUCGUAACUACUCGUCCACCAGCUGUCGCCUCACUGCACGUAUAAGAUAGUGGCAAAAAAAAGGUGGCAAGUGUCAGACAGGAAACUCAUUGCCGCGCUUAGCAAAACAAAUGCAAAAAAGGGUCAGUCUGUUCAAAAAAUAUAGACAAAACAAAACACUAAAAUAGAAGUCGAACCUCCUCCUAGCAGCUACGGGAUCGGUCCUAGACUCUUGCCAGGAGAACCCUGCCAACAUCCUCUGGAGCCCUCCCCCUCUUUGAGGGCAACACCCCCUCGCCUCUCGCAGCUGUAUGUUCUUUGACUCUCCGGUGAGGGGACAUCUGGUGCAGCCUUGCCCUUCUUACCACCUGCAUGAACUUCAACAUGUUCAUCAUCAUCAGUGUCGUGCUGCACGUUCUCCAUGUCAUCGUCAUUGUCCUUGUUGAGAGCAGCAUCUCCAUCUAGUUCAUCUUGUGUGUCAGCAAGAUCUUGGGAGCUGUUGUAGUCGUACCGGCCACGGCAACCAGUUGGCCGAUGUGUUCGUUCUGCAACAAAUGUAGUGAACUGCCUCGCAACCGCGUCUCUGUCAGAGCCAUUUAGGGACGUCCAACCCUCAACCAACUUCCCGAGCAAGCUGGUCAUUCCGGAUGCAAACUGCCCAAUUAGAUGCUCAACAGGUGCCCUCGCCUAUGCACGAAACAAGAAGCUGCAAUAACCAACCAUAUUAGAGUCACUUGCACAAGAUCAAAAUUAUCCAAAGCAAUCACAGAUAUAUAUCCUUGAUUAGCUCAGUAGGGCAAGACGGAGCUGAGUGCACGUCCAUCCACUUUCCAAAGUUUUGAGGCCCCCCAAACACGCUGUAGUCUAUAGCAUGCUUGGCCAUCAGCUGGAAAUAACCAAAAAAUAGCUAGGAUGUAAGAGAGAAAAUGAUGAACACUAACUAACAGUUCAUGUAUUGCAAAUAAAACAAAAAAAGAGGAAGAGACUAGAAGUUUCAGCACGGAUGACAGAGUUGCCAUGUGGAGUGAGACAUGGAUACCAUGCGCAGACAGCCAUGGCUAACAAGGUAGUCAUCUCUUGUUAGCCACAGACGGUUGCCACAUGAGGAUUUUUUCAUAUGUUAUGCAGCAAAAAAUUGUAAGAAUGCCGUGUAGAGAAAGAAACCAGAACUAACCUGCAGUUUUCCAUAUUUGGUAUCAGUUACCCUGUCUGCAGCAAGCACAGCCUUGACAGCAUCGUAAGUCCACGCAGAAACAGCAAACUUGUGUGUAGGAGGCGGGCCUCCUGUCCCAGUGAAGUCCACGGUAGACAGAUCAAGACAGUCGACGUACAUGAGCUGAUGUACAACAAUUUUAAAAGGAAAAAAAUCAGUUGCCAUCAUGGUAUUUUACAAAAACAAGCUAAUGUAUGUUCCUACAAUCAUCAAGUUGAAGUGCAUGAAAAGAAAAGAAGAAGUUGCCAUCUGUCUGUGCUAGUUGCCAUCAUGGUAUGAUGGCAGUUGCCAUCUUGUCAUGAUGGCAGUUGCCAUCUUGUUAUGAUCAUGGUUGCCAUGCAUAAAUAAAGGUGUUAAAGAGUGUUCACAAAAAGGACUGGUAAAAAAUACCAUUAAAUGCAGUCGACAACCCUUCUGGUACAUCUUGUUUGAGAAUGCAUCAUGCAGGAAGUCGGCGAUGAACUUACACCAAUUCAUGUUCUUCACAUCUUUCAGUUUCGCCUGCACGGCACAAUUUUCAGGACAACAAGUUGACGCAUCAGAAAUCAAAUGGAAAAACAUCAAAAAAAUUGGCAGUGAGUAGCUUACACAUGACAUCGGAGCCAAAAGAUUGAAGGAAAUAAUGGAGUAUAGAUAGAUCAUUCACCGGGAUGGGGAAGCAUUUGUUGCUUGGGCGAAGAGAAGUGGUCGGCGCGAAACCAGCUGAGAUGAGGUACAUGAGUAGCUUGAUCUUAAAAACCUCGCCAUGGGUUGUCAUGGCCUGCAGCGAAUCUGCCAGGAAAGUCGUGUUCGGCAUGGAUUCCAACCCAGGAAACAAACGGGGGAACAAUGUUUCCUCGAUCUUAUUAUUGACCUCGUACGGGACUUUGAUUUCUCCACGGGGCACACCCAAAGUGCAGAACACGGAUUCCUCGUCCAACAGCAGUCUUCCACGUCCCGGAAUCACAAAUUCCCUGGAGGCGGGGUCGUAAAUCUCACCAAGCCAGUCGCAUACAGGGUUCACUAGAUUCUUGCACCGGACAUCCAUCAGAGCCUGCAUACCCAUCUCAGCAGCAGCUCCCUUCUGAUCGUCGGUAAAUCUGUCGGUCAAUGAAGUCAGGCGUUCCUGCGAGGCCCUAUUGCGAGUACGUUUCUUCUUCUGCAAAACAGACAAAUGAUCAUUUGUUGCCAUGUUUUCACUGUCAUGAAGAUUUAGUUCAUAACAGACGAUUGCAAGCUCGAUGUGGCAUCCAAAAACAUAUGCAGGGGAAGGAGGGGUGUGGACAGUUACCUCAUCGCCGUCUUUUCUCCGUCCAGUUGCCUGAUUCUGCUGCGGUGCAUCCAUGAAAUCAUCAUCAUCGUUUUGAUGAUCGCCGCGAGCAAUUCUGCUGAGGUAAGAACAAACCAAAUUGUUAGGGUGGAAAUGAAAUGUAGGAAGUAAGCAGUUGCCACCUAACAGAAUGUGCUUGCCACAUGGGCUCAAUUGAAAUGGCAAAAAUAGUGAAGGCAAAUAUCACACGAACACACACGCACCCAUAUGAUUGUCGAAAACAUAAAUGUGGUAAUUAAACACAUUAGCUUCAUUUGAAAAAUGUACAGAUCGUAAUGCAUUUAAAACAAAAUGUUGAAGUUGCCAUGUUAGCACAAGAUAUUACGAAAGAAAGGCACAAAUCUUCCACUGCACAAACAUAAAAUGUGGCAGCUCACACCAUGUCCUCAUACAAAAAUGAGUUGCCAUGUGUUCAAAGGCAAAAUGUGCUAGGUUGAAAUUGCCAUGUUAAAAUGCAACACAAAAUUCAAAAAAGCGUUGAAAAACAUCUACUGAACAACCUGAAAUUGCAAUGCACACACUGACCUCAUAUUAAAAAUGAGUUGCCAUUUAGUACGGCCAAAUAUGUUCAGAUAUCACAAGUCAGCGUGGCAAAACACGAAACUGGGUCUGCAGUACAAUGAAUUUGCCACAUUAUCCUGCCUACAACAUGGCAACAACCAUGCUGUGUUCACAGAAAUACUUGCCACAUGGAAAGCAUAUAUAUGGCAACUGACACAGUUGAUGUGGAAAUUAGUUGCCAUCCAGUGGACAUAGUUGCUGAAACUGACAUGACAACCUAGUUACUAUACUUUGCCAUGCCACAUUAUCCUGUCAGUUGCCACAAGUCAGUGUGGCAAAACACAAAUUUGGGUCUGUAGUAGAGUGAAUUUGCCACAUUAUCCUGCCUACAACAUGGCAACAGCCAUGCUGUGUUCACAGAAAUACUUGCCACAUGGAAAGCAUAUAUAUGGCAACUGACACAGUUGAUGUGGAAAUUAGUUGCCAUCCAGUGCACAUAGUUGCUGAAACUGACAUGACAACCUAGUUACUAUACUUUGCCAUGCCACAUUAUCCUGUCAGUUGCCACAAGUCGGCGUGGCAAAACACAAAUUUGGGUUGUAGUACAGUGAAUUUGCCACAUUAUCCUGCCUACAACAUGGCAACAGCCAUAGUGUGUUCACAGAAAUACUUGCUACAUGGAAAGCAUAUAUGUGGCAACUGACACAGUUGAUGUGGAAAUUAGUUGCCAUCCAGUGCACAUAGUUGCUGAAACUGCAAUGACUACCUAUUUACUACACUUUACCAUGCCUACAGCGUGGCAACAGCCGUAGCAUGUGCACGAAAUUAGUUGCCACAUGGAAAACAUAUUUGUGGCAACUAUCACAAUCAAUCAGGAAAUUAGUUGCCAUACGGUGCAGAUAGUUACUCAAACUACCAUGUUUGCAUUCAUACUGCACUUUGAAAAACAACUACCUAGAUCUAGGGUUCAAUGGCAACUAUCAUAACUUGAAAUUCAUCACCAAAAUUCUCCCUGCACUGAUCGCAAAUAGCAUUUCGAAGCAAUGCGAACCUAUCGGACAGAAAAACGACGGCCUAAUCCCAAGGCACAACCAGGAUGUGGCUCCAGACAGGCCGAACCACACCAGCAUGACCGCCAGCGCGGCGGCGACGAAACUGCUCAAUGCCACCAAAAACGGCAAGCACAAGACUACGCCGCCGGCGGGAACGCCGGCGCAUCGCGAACCCGCCUGAAUCUCGAUGGAUCUCGAGCGAAGCAUCGACCACGGAGGGGAGGGGAGAAAUGCAGGCAAGGAUUUUGAGCAUGGGAGGGAGCAUUACCUUCAAUCUGUAGGCGCUCCGGCGAAGACGCUCCGCUCCGGCGAGUCCCACCGACGGCCGCGAAUGCCGUCGACUCUUCCGCCUCAGCCGUCGCCUUCUCCUCUCUCCUUCUUCUCCAAUCGACUGAACUGCGGGGUGGGUUGUGCGAGUAACUGAGGGGAGGAGUAAAUGGAACCAUGAGGGGAGGGGGGCGAAGUGCGCGACGUGUUUGACGGCAACCACGGUCGGGCGUGGUGUGCGGGCGCAGAGCAGUUUCACCGCACGCCCCCGAGUGGCAACCGCUGACCGCGGGGAGGCAACCGGCGUGUAGGCGAACUGUGUCACACACCACACACACGUCUUGUCCUACGUGGCACACAAAAUCAGUCAAAACGUGCCAAGAUUCGUGCAGAUACUGCUGGACGGUGAUGAAGGCGUGUGGUUGAGAUGGCUAACGCCCACACGUGUGGGCAUUAACAUUUCCAAAAUUUAAUGGAGUAAAUAUACUUCAUUAAGGUUCACUCCUCUAUUUUUUAAAGGGACCGGUUAGAGAUGCCCUCACCAAUAUACUUCGUAUAGAUAGCGGUGUUUCUAGAUUGACAAUCGUGCGAGGAUCGGAACAUGGAAGUGUCAGGUGUAAACAAUAGUAUUCACGAUUUUUUUCUUUUUUAAAAGGAGAAAGACCUCCUUUUCAAAAAAAAAGUUGUUGGGACUUGGGUGGUGUGUCACAGAUUGGAUUUUCAGCACCACAUAUGGUUGUUUCAAAAUCUCAAGAUUUGCUGCGUACGUGAGAUGGAAUAUAUAGUAAUUUACUCAUUAAAAAUUCACCACGUGGUAGGCGUGCAUUGAGCUACUAGCCUACUACUACUAGUUUAUUCUUUCAAUCAAUCGCCACUGAGCAAGUCCAACAUCUACUCCUACUUAUACCAUUCACACGCAGGUAACCUUCCGCUAGCAGUAGUAAUUCGCAAAGAAAAUGGCCUCUACGGAAACCACUGGCAGCAGCAAGAAGCUGCGCGUGCUCCUCAUCCCCUUCUUCGCCUCCAGCCACAUCGGACCCUUCACCGAGCUCGCCGUUAGCCUUGCGACGGCCAGACCACAGGCCGUAGAGGCCACCAUCGCGGUGACGCCGGCGAACGUGCCGCUCGUCCGGUCGUUGCUCCAGCCGCACGAGAACGGCAGUGGCAUACCGGUGAAGGUGGCGACGUACCCGUUCCCGGCCGUGGACGGCCUCCCCAAGGGCGUCGAGAACCUCGGUGCGGCAGCGCAGGCCGACGCAUGGCGCAUCGACGUGGCUGCGCUGAGCGAUACACUGAUGCGGCCCGUCCAGGAAACGCUCAUCAGGGCGCAGUCACCGGACGCGCUCGUCACCGACGUGCACUUCAUGUGGAACGCCGGCGUCUGCGACGAGCUCGGCGUGCCAUGCGUCACGUUCAACGUCAUCGGUGCCUUCUCGACGAUCGCGAUGCGGCAUCUAUUGGGCCGCGUUUCCAACGGCGAGCCGGAGGUGGUGACCACCAUCCCUCGGUUUCCGGCCCCCGAGAUACGAGUGCCGGCGGUGGAGCUGCCGGAGUACUUGAGGAGCCAACGGAAGGGUGGCCAAUCCACCUUCCACCGGCUCUAUGCGGUGCAAGGUGACUGCUUCGGGCUGGCCGUCAACACGUCACCAGCUCUGGAGGAGCACUACUGCGGGAUGUACGUGGGCAAUGGCUACGCGAAGCGUGCGUACAUGCUAGGCCCGCUGUCACCGCGACUGCCGUCGUCACCGGAAGCCGGCGACUCACGGUACACCGACUGGCUUGACUCGAAGCCGAGCCGGUCGGUGGUGUACCUGUGCUUCGGCAGCCUCGCCCACGUCUCCGACGCUCAGCUGGACGAGCUCGCUCUCGGGCUCGAGGCCUCAGGGAUGGCGUUCCUGUGGGUGGUGAGGACGGACAAGUGGUCUCCCCCGGAGCGGUGGCACGAGCGUGUUGGAGGCAGGGGAAUGGUGGCCACCGCCUGGGCUCCGCAAAGGGCUAUCCUGGGGCACCGGGCGGUGGGGGCCUUCGUGACGCACUGCGGAUGGAACUCCGUCCUGGAGACGGUGGCGGCGGGCGUGCCGGUGCUCACAUGGCCCAUAGUGUUCGAGCAGUUCAUCACCGAGAGGCUGCUCACGCAGGUCCUAGGGAUCGGGGAGCGGCUGUGGCCGGACGGCGCCGGCGUUCGGAGCACGAGGUAUGAAGAAAACGAGGUAAUCCCCGCCCAAGAUGUGGCACGGGCAUUGACGACCUUCAUGCAGCCUGGAGGGCCGGGGGAUGCGGCGAGGAGAAGAGUCAUGGAACUGGCCGCCAAGGUUCACGCCGCGGUGGCGGAAGGAGGAUCCUCCGACCGUGAUCUGCACCGCUUGAUAGAUGACCUCAUGGAAGCUGCCGGUGCCGGUGCCGGAAGGACGACGAUAUGAAGUCAGACUUGCUCAAAAUCCUUACUAUUGAAUGGUCGGUCAGUCUCAUCAGCUAUCUUAUCUCACCUGUAUGCCUGAGUUCGUAUAAUUUUGUAAGUUGUUUGCUUUUCAUCUUUUCUUUUCUGGGCUGUAGCCCGGUGGCAAGGACACAGUUGUGCAUCCUUACGGAUCGAGGUUCUACAACCGUCCGAAGCGAAUUUUCACGAAAUCACCCGGAUCAGCUUCUUCUAUAAAAAUAUGUCGUGGGUAGUGUCCAUGGAUCUUUUUUUCUUCUUUUCUUUACAAUCACCUUUUUCCUUGUAAGAAAUCCAAACGAAGCCUUAAUAAAUGUUUUGUCUGCCAGAAUGAAUUGGCCGUGAACCAACCUGUGGUUGGAUGUUUAGAAGGAUAGUGGUAUCCUUAGCCUACCAGAGUUCAAGUCCUACGCUUGACAUUGAUCUCAUAUUUUUCUAGAUUCGUCCAAAGCAUUCCUUACAAGGACAACGUUGCCAGCUGGGUACAAUAUGGUAAAGACGCAAGUUUAACCAGGAUCCGAGAGAUGGAAUGGAGCCAUGCGAGUUGUUUGAAAGAUCAAGUGCUUGAAGAUUUAACAUUUUUUUUUGAGAAAAGGCGUAUUGCCAUCUUACAUCGUCCCAAGGGCAGGAUUACACUCAUUUGCUAGAGCCUCUCGUAAGUCAUAUGGGACAUCUGCUACAUACAUAACAUCCCCUGUCCUCCUUGCAUAUGCGGCCAUUUCAUGAGCCAAUUUGUUCCUGUUUCGUUUGACUGUGCUGAUCGACACCUCUUCAAAACUAUGCAUAAGGUAUCUCACGUCAGUAAUCAAAGGGAAUAGUGAGGAGAGAUUAGCAUCUUUGCUCUUCAGCAGUGUGGCUGCAUUUGCACAGUCCGUCUCGAUACAUAGCUUCCCCCAAUAGCGCUUCCUUAAUUCUGCUAAACCAUAGAGGAUGGCGGCCAUUUCAGCUUCCUCGGACGAGCUGCAUGGAGUCAGUUUUUUACAGAUGGACAGAGCAACACGUCCGUUACAAUCUUUGACAACAAUGCCUGCAUAAGUCUCUCCAGUACUAAUUAAGAAUGAUGUGUCGCUGUUUAAUUUCCAGGUCCCGCUGUCUGGCGGCAGCCACCACUCAGUCUCGUCAGCGUUUUCUGAUAGUGUGGCAUAAUUGGGGUUGUUGCUUCUGCUUGUGAUUGAACUGUCAGCCAUGGGAGCAGUAAUCCCAGAGAAGAUCGGCUUUUUCCCUUUAACUCUUGCAGAUAGAGCCUGACUACAGCAUGAGUAUACAUCCAUAUUGAAGGCCUGCAUAUUUGCCUCUGGAUCGUUGUUGCCCAUGUAAGCACCGCCCAGCUCAUUGUGGUAUUUAACUAAAAAUUGGACUAAAGCCCCAAUCGUCGCUCUUCCUUUUGCAUGAACGCAGUCCUCACGUAGCCACCAUGCGCGCCACAGCAAGAGCAUGAUUUUCUGCCGUACGUCCAUACUGCAUGUGUCCAGCAGCAGUUGUAGCCAAUCCACCCCUGUAUAUUUGAACUUCUCUUCUGCCGGCAGGUCCCAGACCUUUCUCAUCUCCAUGCGGAGCGCCCUGGCCUUGGUGCAUGCAACCGUAGCAUGGUACUCGUCCUCUGUUUCCUUUCCACAGAUAUUACAAAUGUUGUCAAUCUCCAGUGUUCUUUUCCAUUUGUUUUUCUUUGUGGCCAAAGUUUCAGUUGCUACUCGCCACCCAAAAAUGCGAAUUUUCUCAGGGCAUUUGGAUUUCCAAAUUAAGUCCCAAAUACUUCUAUUGUCGGCUUCGCAUACUGAACUUGAUGCAUCAGCCCCCACUAGCUGUUUAAGCUGGAAUCCCAGUUUGUAAGCACUCCGGACAGUGAAUAUACCAUUUUUCUCACUAUGCCAGGCCACACAAUCCUCAGCGCUGGUGUUGGGCAAUUUAAUUUUGCAUAUUUCUUCUGCAUCAAACCCAUGGAACAGAUCCUUAACAAGGUUAACAUUCCAUUCAUUGCCGUCAGAGGUUAGAAGCUGGUUAACCCAUUUCAAACGUGACCGUCUCUUGAAUGUGGCCACUUUCAGUCCGCUUUUCCUGGGUAUCCAUUGAUCCCUUUGGAUCUGAAUCCUUCUUCCAUUACCGACUCUCCAGAUUAGACCUUUUUUGAGGAGCUCCAGUCCGUGCUCAAUACCUUUCCAUGCUUGAGAGGCGUCUGAAGCAAAGGAUGUGUCAAGGAGUUCCCCAUUUGGGUAAUAUUUUGAUUUUAAUACCCUCGCACACAGGCUAGUGAAGCAGGGAUCAGACCAUCCAGCCUGUUGCUUCCCAUUAUCAGGGACUGGAGGUUUGGUAGAGAGUAACCAAUGUGAGAUGCUAUAUGUCAAAAAACGCCAUUGCUACCAAUACUAAAGAUUUUGAGUAAUGACAUGUUGUAAAGAGGAAAUGGAACGUUACCUGAUAAACUGUUGAAACUUAGGUCAAGGUCAAGCAGUUUUGUAAUGCGACUCAAACUUUCCGGAAUUAAUCCCGAUAACCUAUUUUGGCCGAGCAAUAUAGAAGUGAGGGAAGAAACAUUUCCUAUUGAAUUAGGUAUGCUUCCAGAGAGGAAGUUCUCUGUUAGGUAAAGAAAUUUGAGAAUCUCUUUUCUCGUUGAGAUAGCGCUUCCACGAGAAGUCAGAGAAAACAUCAGGUUGAAGCAAAUAACAAGUUGUGCAGUGACCCUCCUGAUUUUGUUAAAUCAAUGACGAUGACAACAUUCUACUCAUGUUUGCAUGUUGUUUUACUAGACCUAACUGCACCAUGUACCAUCAUAAUAACAAAUUCAAAUACUGUUGCAUCUAUGUUCACGUAGAAUCACAUGUUCAAACAAAUGAAGAAUGUCGACACAACACUAGCAAAGAUCAAUACUAAGGAUCACCUACCACAUCUAAUUGGCGGAAAGAUGGUCAUGAAACAAAUCUGUAAAGCUAUUCAAGAGUGGUAAUUGUUUCAUCAUGUUAUUCUUAAGAUUCUUAAGAACAUAUAUAUAGUUAAAUAUUUAGAUGGAUAGGUUGGUGUUCCUACACUCACAUUUGCACUGACAUUGCUAUUCGUACUUACAAAGAAAAGCAAACUAUGCCCAACAAAACCACUAUUGACUGCUUCCACAUACUUACAAGAUAACAAAAGAGAAAAUUUCAUCUAUGCGAGUCAGUGUCUCACUUUGGUCAGUGUACUUCAAAAUACCCUAAAUACAAUUACUAAAGUAGCUUAAGCGCCUCAAUAUGGUCGCUAGUAUGACUUGACAUACAUAUUUCACUUAGUUGGCAUACAGUUGACCCGUCCAAUUGCCACGUGGGCAACAACUAUGUGGACAGCAUGGCCGGGCGGCGUGACAUCUUGAAAAAUAAGCCUGACCGGCCCCACCUAUCAGAUGGGGUGAGAAACAAAAUGCAUAACUUAGCCCGUGGGGAUUUUUUUUCCCACCCCACACCUUUUCAUGUCCACAUAGUGCAACGUUAUGUUAUCAUAGGAAUAUAGGAUAGCUCGAUACCCGUCAAAAAAGAAAUAACCCGCCAAAAAAAUAUAGGAUAGAUCGAUACAUGCAUGUGGUGCAUGAGAUAUAUGUGAUCAUAAUAUACUCCCUCCAUUCCGAAUUAUAAGAUGCUUUUAUUUUUUCUGAGUUAAAUGUAUAUAGACGCGUUUUAGUGUGUCUGUUCACUCAUUUCAGUCCAUAUGUAGUCUAUAUUGAAAUAUUCAAAAUGUCUUAUAAUUUGGAAUAUGUGAUGUACUAGUCACUUGGGUGAUGCGUGAUCAGCUAGCUACAAUCCGGGGUUGAAGAAGACCUGACUGUCAGACGGCCAUUGGUUUCCGGUGAUGAAGCACUCGACAGUGUACUAGGCGGCAUCGCGGGAAUGGAUGUCGCGGCGAUAGCCGCUCCACUUAAUUGACGCAUUGCUUCACCUUGGAGGCAGCCCGGGGGCAUAGCUCUUGUAUUCCAUGUAGCGUAGGUGCGCGUCACGACCGCCAACUUCACCUGAUCGUCCAGCCUUUCCAGGCUACCUAGCCACUAGCGUCCACGAGCUCAUGCGCUGAGGUAACUCUACAUUAUAAACUUGGUGUGGGAGUGGUUCACCCACGGGCGACCAAGGUACGUCUCAACAUUGUUGAGGUCCUCGCUCUCGCCAUGCCUGACGCUGCACUUUUGGACGAGAAGACAGUGUCACAGUCAGGUAAGUUGCAGCCCUAGGCCGUCACCACAUUGUGGUUCCCAAGCAUCAUCUUGAGAACUAAAAUGUGACAGCCCUGAAAUAGUGAUCCAAACGUCUUAUAUUUGUUUACAGAGGGAGUAUAAAAUUAAUGAGAGAUNNNNNNNNNNNNNNNNNNNNNNNNNNNNNNNNNNNNNNNNNNNNNNNNNNNNNNNNNNNNNNNNNNNNNNNNNNNNNNNNNNNNNNNNNNNNNNNNNNNNNNNNNNNNNNNNNNNNNNNNNNNNNNNNNACAUGUUUCUUGGUUGUUACUUUAUGGAUUUGGUUGUUACCAAUCCUUUUGGUAAAGUACCAUUUCUAGUGUAAAGAAAUAUCCACAAUUUAAUAACAAUGAUGUUCCUACCUACAAUCUUGCCUUCUCAAGCAAGGUUGAUAGGGACUAGUACAAUGCCACCAAAGCAUAGAUUCUAACCAAUUCAUGUGUAUGUUGAGGAUAAUGUAUAAAUCCUUAGACAUCACCGUAUCCACCGGUGUUUUUUUUUGCCAUGCAAAUCUGAAAUGGUUGGGAUUCGAGCUUCUAUUCACUAUAUGGAUCUUUUUGGCCAACUCAUGCUUAUUGGCACUGCCCACGAUAAGUAAUCAAUCAAUACACAUUUUUUCCAACAAUAAUUACAUCAUAUCAUUAUAAUUGUUCUAUGCUAAUCAUGUUUGUAAUUGUGUAGCUUUGCAAAUAGACAUAACUACAUGUUUAUAUAUUAACUGCAUGACUCUUUAACUCAUAGAUGGAUUACAGGAAAUUUAUGGAAGUGCAUAUUGAGAGGGCGCUUCCACGAGAAGCCGGAGAAAACAACAGGCGUGUUAUGCUAACUGUACNNNNNNNNNNNNNNNNNNNNNNNNNNNNNNNNNNNNNNNNNNNNNNNNNNNNNNNNNNNNNNNNNNNNNNNNNNNNNNNNNNNNNNNNNNNNNNNNNNNNNNNNNNNNNNNNNNNNNNNNNNNNNNNNNNNNNNNNNNNNNNNNNNNNNNNNNNNNNNNNNNNNNNNNNNNNNNAUUUAAAUGCUUAGCAGAAUGCUUUUGGAAAAACAACGAGUAUAAGUGCACACACUCACACUGCGCCUACCGAAGAACAAUGCCGUGGAGAUUCAAGAUUGACUUAAAUGAAUGCCUUGGCAGUGCAAUGAUGGAUCAUAUUAGUUUGCAUUACUGUCUCUUUUUUUUGUCAACAGUCUUUGUUGUCAUCUCCACCGAAAAAAAGUUUGAUCUGUCUUGCCCAUACUAGUCAGCCUAGUCAGGAAUUCCAUCCCUUUCAAGUAACACAAUCAUGGGUCUCUUUAGUGUUCCUCUCCAGACAUAAAAAACUUAUUCAGGAAUUUCAUUACUUUCAAUAACACUUAACAAUAAUGGCUAGAGGCCAUGGAUAACUCAAAGCAAUACACAACCUCAUCCAUGGCAAGUAGUAAGUCAAUUAACAGUCUAAGAGCAAAAGAGGAUUGCAGCUUGUGUUAUUGUCCGACCCCAGAUUUACAUUUCAUAUGAUUCUCUUACUUUGCUUUGAAAUUGACUACUAAUGCAGGAUGCAGCCUUGAAGACACAUCUUUCCAAUAUUAGCCAUCAGGCUGCUAAGAAUUGUUUACAGAACAAUAGACAUGUCCUUCGAAUAUUACCAAUCAGGCUGUAAAGUAAACAUAUUAUUUCAUCGGAAAACACCUUUACAUACAGCACCCUUUGCAAAUAAAUUAGUGCAAUAAUUUGACAAUACAUACACGUCAAUAUAAAAAAAAUCAACUCUAGAACAAAGAGUUGUUGUUAUUUCUAAUAUCCAACUAUGACUAACUGCAAAUCACAUCUCUGUCCCCACUGUUUGUUUCAGUUUGUCAAAUAGAUUGGGUACAAUAUGCACUGUACUAGUUAAAAAGACACAUUCUUAAUAUAAUGAAUCAGUAUGCUCUAACAGAAUUGAUAUAUUCGUUAAUCAUCAUGACAGUUCCAGAAAAGAGGCUCUAAUAUCAGAAAGUUUUGCACAAACGUCUUUCAUUCCGGGCCUAUCCUUCGUUGAUUCCAUGGUACAUGACAGCCCAAGGGCAACCAAGGGGACAAUAUAUCUCUCCAUCCAUGCUUCUGUGCACCCUUGAUGCUCCUCAUGCGCCAUAUGAGGAUCAAGAAUCUCUGCAACUCUGUCUGGGAACAUGGAUUCAGAGAACUUACAAAGGCUAAGUCCAUCCACAAACAUAUCAUCAGUAGGUCGUUUUCCAGUAAGCAAUUCCAGUAGAAGCACUCCGAAACUAUAUAAAUCGCCGGCUACGGAGAUCUCGCAACCCAUUCCGUACUCUGUGAAGACGUAAUGUGUUAAGAUAAUACACACACAUACAAGACAUACUAUAAUUAAGUGGAAACAGAAAAGGUAAAACUCACCUGGUGCCACGUAUCCAAUUGUCCCUCCAACAUCAUCCAGGCUUUUAGGAAUUACCAGACCUGGUGAUAGAAACUUUGCUGAGCCAAAGUCACUGAGCCGUGCAGUCAUGUCAUCAUCCAAAAGGACAUUGUUUGGCUUCAAAUCACAAUGGAUCAAAGGAGGCGUCAGUUCAUUGUGGGCAUAAUCAAGAGCAGAAGCCACAUCUGCUGCUAUGCAUAUCCUCUGGCCAAAGCCUAGCACUUUGUCUGGAAUUCCAUUGUGCUGCUCAGAAUGCAACCAUGCCUCCAGGCUUCCAUUAACCAUGAACUCGAAGAUUAGUGCUUUGAACUCAUGGUUUUGUGAAUCCAAUGUUGAGCAUAGGGUCACAGGUCGCAUUAUAUUUCUAUGGCGGGUGCUUCGGAGCACUUCACACUCAAUAAGGUAACUAUCGUAUCCACCAGGUUCAUUCAACUUGAAUACUUUGAUGGCAACUAGGCUCUUGUCGGACUUGAACCUACCAACAUAAACUGAACCAGUACAAGUUGAGCUGAUAGUAUGGACCAAAGAAAACCAGUUGGUAGCUUUAACAAUGUCCUCGUAUGACACUCUCUUCAGCUUCUUCUCGUCAUGGCACGGGGCUGUAUGCACUUCUCUUCUAUUAGGAAACAUCUUGGACACAAGAUCCCAUCGUGAAAAUGGAAACGACCCUUUCUUCCAAAUAGUGAGCAUAAACCAUAUCAAGACUAGGGAACCAAUAGUAAGUGGUGGUAGUACAAUUAGCAGCGAGGUCACCAGCAACGACAGAUGAUGCUUCACUUUAGUUGCUGAACCUGAGAUGCCAGGACAAAUUGGUAACGCUAGCCUGGGGGAAUUUGAGCAGAGUCCCUUGUUGCCAUCCAAAACUACUGCAGCAGAAUGUGUGAAGAUACCACUUGCAGGAACAGCCCCUUCCAAGUUGUUGUAAGAGAGAUCAAGUUGCUCCAGCUUAUCAAGUUGCUCAAAGAAUUUGGGCACGACACCGGAUAAGUCAUUGUGAGAAAGAUUAAUCUGCCGGGUUGAUACUAAUAGAUGCCAUCUUUCUGGAAUUUGUCCAUGAAACCUGUUUCCUUCCAUGUGAAGGGAAACUAGACCACUACCAAUGCCAUAUGUACCAAGUACCGGUGGUAGUUCCCCUGUGAGAUUGUUGUGUGAGAAGUCCAGACUCCAGGCGAAUAGAAGGUCAGCAAAAAGUCUGACUGGUAUCGAGCCAUCAAGAUUGUUUUGAGAUAAGUUUAGUUCAAAAAGCCCCAUGCACUGAGCUAAACUACCAGGUAUAUUUCCACCCAAGUUGUUACCAUCAAGGUAAAGUAGAGCAAGUUGAGUAACAUCACCAAUUGAGGGAGGAAUCUGACCUGAUAAUUUGUUCUUUGACAGAUUUAGGAUAUAGAGGUUUCGUAGCUUGCCGAUGGAAGAAGGUAUGCUUCCAUAAAGGAAAUUGCUUUCCAUCCCAAGCGAAAAGAGAUUAACAAGAUUGCCAAUCUCUACAGGUAUGGAGCCUGAAAUUUGGUUUGACCCAAGCGAUAAAUAUUCUAACCUCCUGGAAAGAUUAACAAUUGAUAUAGGUAGGCUGCCAUUUAGAACAUUCCCUUCCAGAUUGAUAUAGGUAGGCUGCCAUUAACAUACAAAAUAGAAGGGAUCUCGCCAGAGAGGUUAUUACGUGACAGUAUAAGUGUACUGAGUGAGACACUGUUGGCCAGUGAGACAGGGAUGCCACCGGUAAGACUGUUGUUUGCAAGAUUGACAUAGCUAAGUGAAUUGCUAGUGCCUAGUGAAUCAGGGAUGUUACCUUCCAGAUUGCUGCCGGCAAGAUUCAGUGUAUGGAGGUUUGGAAGCUUACCCAAUUCUCCAGGGAUGGUUCCCGGCAGAUAAUUAUCGACAAGGUUCAUCAAGGAUAGAGAAGUCAAGUUACCGACACAUCCAGAUAAGCGCCCACCGAGACGAGCAGAUGUGAGGUCCAAAGAGACCACCCGGGGUGGGAUUUUUUUGCCGCAGGUGACCCCUUUCCAGCUACAAAAGUUGAGCGAACCAUUGCUCCAUGAGUGUAGGAUGCCAAAGGGAUCAAAGCUGAUGCCAGACUUGAAGCAAAGGAGGGCAUGGCGAUCAAUCUCGGAGAUAUUUGCUUGUGAUGCAGAUGCCGAUGUGUUGAAGGAGAAAAGGCUGAGCAAAAUACAGAGUAGAGACAAGAGAGAGGGCAUGAUGCUGAUGUGAAAGAACAAAGGUUUGAGCUUGUAUGAUCUUGGGUGAAGGAUGACUUUUGAAGGAUUUGGCUACCAGACAUGGACCAGAAGGCAUGGUUGACUGGACACGGCAGGUCAAUGCGAACGUGUGUGCAAGGGAAAGGAGAAGCAGGGGAGUGAAACAAAGACCUCUGAAUGAGAACGCGUGUGGACUGCAGACUGCGACUGGCAACUGGAAGAGGACCAACAGCAAAGGCGGCAGGCAGCAUCGAACUAGGAUGGAGCAAACGGAGCUGGGGUGUUGAAACGGACCUUCAAACGGCAUGUUUUGUCCACCCAAAUCGCAUAAAAAAAUCCAAACGGCUCGCUCGUGCAUCCCUUCCUCCUCUUGAGCAAAAAUGACGCUGCAUUGCAAUUCAGUCAGUGUUGCGCUUGAUCAUGCAUGCUUGAUGAUUGAAAUGCUUGGUUAACUGAAUGGGAAAACAUGGCAACACAGGCAGGGAUUUCGGACAGACAGCCGAAUCUCGUCAGUUUCUAGAGAAAAGGCAUUGCGCCCAACUUUAUAAAUAAAGCCACCAAAUCUCGUCAGUUUCAGCGUGGCGGAUUGGGAAUCUGCAGGAGGACUGGACUUACCGGAUGCUGCGAGAUGCUGCUCACUCGUCUUCCACGAGCCCGGGGUGGCGGCGAAGCUCCCCGUAGGGAGCCGCCGCAGCGAGGGCUGGCCCCGCUAACUAAACUGCGGAGCAAUCCGACGAGAUGCUGCUGCGGGCCCGAAAAGAAGGAACCCCGGGGGAGGCGCGGCGACGGUGGGUAGGUGGCGGCCGGUGGUGGCGUCGUCGGCGAGGCGCAGCGACCCGCACGGACUUGGGAGGCGGCGAGCGCUCGUUGAUUCAGCGAGGGGGGGAUGGGAGGGGACUGGUGGAAGCGUUGACGGCGGGAAGGAAGGCAGCGGCCGACGGCGGUGAGUCCGCUGUCGGAUGAGGAGGGGAGCACGAGCGUGAAGAUCUGACGGCUGAGGUCGCACCGUAAACUCCAAGGCGCGUCCGAUUUGGGUUCCAAGUGGACUGAAAAACCGAACCAAAUCCGUAUCGGUUUGCAUCGCGGUGUUGAAAUUAACCUCAGUUUCUCUCACCACAAAAAAAAAUCUACGAAAACACAGACGCCCACGCGUGUGGGCGUCUGGCAACUCGCCCACGCGUGUGGGCGUCUGGCAACUCGCCCACACGCAUGGAUCCUCGUUCAACCAAUUCUGCACGAAUCUUGGCGGGUUCUAGCAGUUUUUAUGUGCCACGUAGGACUAAGCUGGUGUGUGGGCAUUUAUCCGGUCGCCCACACGUUCUUUUCCACCACACGGGGGCUGGUGUGUGGGCGUUUAGCAAUUCGUCCACACACCAGUUUUCACGCACGCAGAGGGGGCUGGUGUGUGGGCGUUUAUCACUUCGCCCACACGCCCGUCUCCUCACCCACAUCCGAAGCUGGCAGUUGUCAUGUGUUUCUGCAGGGUACAUGGCAACUGCCCUAGCUUUGCUUGUAAGCAGAUGGCAACUCUCUUUUCCCCGAGUUGCCAUGUGUUUUUGCAGGGAACAUGGCAACCGCCUUAGCGUGCACGUAAGCAGAUGACAACUCUUUCUUUUACAUGGCAACUGCCCUAGCGUGCUUUGUGAGCACAUGGCAACUCUCUUUUUUACCCGAACAUGUUUUUUUGCCAUUCCUUUUUGUAGUGCUACAUGGCAACUGUCUAGUGUUAGUGGGUGGCAACUCCUAAAGUUUUGAAAUCAUGGCAACUGCAGUAGACCAGACCAUACAUGGCAACUGCAGUUAAGCAACCAUGGCAACUGUAGUUGUCCGACAUGGCAACUGCAGUUAAACGAACAUGGACGAGGGUCUGGGCCAUGGCAACUGCGGGGCGCGCGGUGACUGUCACGCGGGGCGUGCGGGACCACGAGGUACGAGGCCUGAUGUACGGGGCGUGUGGGCGUUAUCUAUUUCGCCCACACGCACGCGUGUGAGAGGGAUCGGGAGGAAAAAAAAGAGGUGUGUGGGCAUUACUUGUUUUGCCCACAUGUAGAUGUGUGGGCUGUUCCUCUUAUACACCACACAAAAUGUGUGGGCAAACCUCCUAAUGCCCACACGUACGGCACUUAUCGGCGUCCAAAAUCUAAGAGUAUCUCCAGCUGGACAUGUGUGAUUAAUAAUAAAAUCAAAUAAAAUAGCAAAAAGAAAACUGAUUUUUUUUGGCAUUCAAAGAUGCUCUAGCGUGUGAUGUGGUUGGCAACAUUCAUGGUGUUUGGACAUUCCACGAUAGCGUGACAAAAAAAUUUGACCGUGAAAAAAACUUUGAAAAUGAGCACUAUUUGGACCUGAUUUGUUUCUUUUUCAUGUCCUUAAAUGUCCAAACAUCACAAAAAUUUGCGCAGCCGAGCAUCUUUGAUGUCAAAAAAAUACAAUUUUUUAUCUUUUAAAUAUUUUUUAAUUUAGUGUUCAACAGGCAUAGAUGAGCACGAGCUCAGACAUGAAUUACCGUGACUCCUAUUUCCUCCCCAUAUGUUCGGAUGGAUGAAAUUUUCUUGGAUAAGAGAGAAAGAAAAACACCAUUCAACUAGAGCUAUCAAAUGGUACCUCCGGACACACCGCCACAUCGGAUGCAGCUCACCCCGGACCAUUUUCUCUCUCCCUCCCCAUCAAUGAUAUGCAUGUGUCCGCACAAUUUAGGGGAUACGACAGCAUGCACAUGAACAAAUAGGGGUUCAAAGUGGGCGCUGUAGAAAGUGUCCGCGGACAAGUAAGUUCAGUUGAAGAUACUCUAACACACUGCAACCAUAUGAAAGUUAACAGGUGUAUCAGUUCAAAAGACAGGUUAACACGUGUACUGUUUUAAGUUAAUUUUUAUCAAGAACCAAAAAAUCAUUUCUCAGAAAUCUAGAGCAAUGAAUUAUUAAUAAUACAAUCUCACCAAAACUUGCAAAUGCGCAUAUGUACUGCAAUAUACUUCUCUGAAUACGCAGAUUAAUAAUUGGGAUCACAUGAACUCAGUUUCUAAAAUAUCAUGUCUAAUAGAAUACAUAUACUAGUUUUUCCAACAUAGGGAGCUCCAAUACUGAACAUGUACUCUUUCGAGCAAUUCAAUAUUUUGAUAACUAGAGAUCUGGUGAUUUUCCAACACAUAAAUGUGAUCUGCAGAACCAAUUUUUACAGCAAAGAUAUUCGCACCUUAUACUCUUAUUCAAGAACGUGUUGAUCUGCAGGUUAAUCAGCAGAACUCAAAGAAUGCCUCUUUGAGAGACAAAAUUCUGGCACAAACUUCUCCCAUUCCCGGUCGAUCUUUAGGCGAUUCCAUGGAACACAGGAGGCCAACUUCAACCAGAGGUACCAUAUAUCUCCGCAUAAGCACUCUAUCACACGCACGCUGCUGCUCGUGGGACAAAUGGGGAUCUAAAACCUCUCUGAGUCUGCCUGGAAAUGCUGAGCUCACAAGCUUGUGCAGGCUCAGGCCACCGGUGAACAUUGCAUCCGUUGGUCGCCUUCCGGUAAGCAUUUCUAGAAGGAGGAUUCCAAAACCAUAAACAUCACAUCCUGGUGAAACUUUGUAUCCCAUACAGUACUCUGUAAAAUCAUUUAGGGCAUUUUUAAUACAAGAGAAAUAACCAAUAACAAAAUACUCAAAACAAAGUUGAACUCACCGGGUGCGAUAUAUCCAAUUGUUCCUUCCACACCAACCAAGUCUUCUGGACUACCAGGGGUAGAAGAGAGAAACCUCGCUGACCCAAAAUCACCAACCCUUGCGGUCAUAUCAUAGUCCAAAAGAACAUUUCCGGGCUUCAAAUCACAGUGGAUUAGAGGAGGCGUUAACUGGUUGUGCAUAUAAUCCAGAGCCAACGCGACGUCCAUCGCUAUUCUUAACCUCUGACCCAAGCUCAGUACUCUCUUGGGGCUAUUGUUGUGUAGCUUCGGGUGCACCCACAUGUCCAAGCUUCCGUUGGCCAUGAAGUCGAAAACUAUAGCCUUGAAUUCAUUGUUCUCUAGGUCCACUGUCGAGCAUACGGUGACAGCUUUGACAAGAUUGCGAUGGCGGGUGUUUCGCAACACCUCGCACUCGGUAGCGAAGCUGUCAUGCGCACCAUUCUCUUCGAGAUGGAAUAACUUGAUGGCGACCAAGUCCGUGUCAAACUCAAACCUUCCAAUGUAGAUCGAGCCGGUGCGACUUGAGCUGAUCUUGUUAACCGGAGAGAGCCAGUUGGUAGCUUUGACGAUGUCACCAUAAGAAAUCUUCUUCAUUGUCUCCUUGUAGCAUGGAGCUGUUUCUGCUUGCCUUCUCUUCAGAACAGUGACCACAUAGCAUAUGAAGGAGAGCAAGGCAAUAGCAAUUGGGGGAAUUAGUUUUACCAAUAGGAGUGCAUGCUUGCUCUCAACAGCUGACGUUGUGGGGCAAAGUGGGAAAUCGAAUAAGUUGGUGGUUGCAUUUGCACACAGCCCUGCAUUACCAUCCAAGAUUACUGCACUAUAUUUCUGAAAGAUGCCACCGGUUGGAAUUGGCCCUUCAAAGUAGUUGGCUGACAGAUCAAGUUGGUGCAAAUAAACCAUGUUUGCAAAGAACUCUGGAAUUUGUCCAACAAGGUAGUUUUGGGAAAGAUCAAUCUGAUCAAUGGACUUCAGCUCACUGAAAGACUGAGGUAUGCUUCCAUUAAGCAUGUUACUUCUCAAUCUUAGAGACACUAGUUGGACACAUUGGCCAAGUGAUAAUGGUACUUGACCAGACAAUUUGUUGACGGAAAUAUCAAGACGGGCAAGUUGAAGCAGUGCACCAACUUGUAGUGGUAUUGAUCCUGUAAGGUUGUUGUUUGACAAAUCAAAACUGAGGAGGGUAGUGCUAUUGGUGAGUUCACUUGGUAUUGGUCCUUCAAGGCUGUUAAAAGAUAAGCUUAGCAUAUCCAGUUGCUUGCAAUUUCCUAAACUUGCUGGGAUGUUCCCACUCAAGUUGUUGUUGUCUAGAGAAAGCUGAUUCAGCUGGGAAAGAUUACCUAUUGCAGAUGGGAUCUGACCAGAAAAUUUGUUCCCUGAUAGGUCUAGGACAACUAGCCGGUCUAGGUUCCCGAUAAUAGAAGGAAUAACCCCUGAAAGCAAGUUUUUGUCCAUAGCAAGCAUUUGGAGACUUGCAAGGUUAAAAAUCUCAACUGGUAUUGUGCCUACGAUUUGAUUCCUUCCAAGGUUUAAACGUACUAAACUUCUAGAAAGAUUCCCAACAGACCUAGGGAGACUACCAUUCAGGACAUUCCCACUCAUUUCCAAAAUUUCUAGCUGCGAACAAUUUGCGAGAGAGACAAGGAAUUCCCAGCCUUCAGCUUCUAGGAAGUUAUUUUCAAGAAUUAGUAGCUGUAAGUUAAGUAAAGAUCCCAGAGAUGGGAUUCGUCCAUUUAGUAAGUUGUAUCCAAGAUCAAUCACUUGGAGGUUCGAUGCAUUUGCUAGUGAUGAUGGAAUUAAUCCCUCAAAUUUGUUACCUGACAUGUCAAGCAAUUCAAGGUUUGUUAAUGUGUUUCCAAUGAAAGAUGGUACUUGUCCAGUUAGGUCAUUCUGGGCUAAGUCAAGAUAAAUGAGUGAUGAGAUGUUACAGAGUUCGGACGAAAGAUGCCCCGACAGGUUGUUGUUACCUAAACUCAGCAUACUAAGGUUCUGGAUAUGGCUAAGAGAAGAAACAUUUCCCAGUGAUGAAGGUAUGCUUCCAGAAAGGUCGUUAUUUGAAAGAUCAAGAAAUUCAAGGGUUGACAUCUUAUGGAAAUCUGGAAUAUUGCCAGUGAAGAUGUUAAAUGAGAGAUCGACAAUUUUAAGAGAUCUACUAGUGCCUAAAGAUCUAGGAAUGCUACCUAUAAGCAUGUUUUCUGACAGUAUCAAAGUUUGGAGGGCUGGCAACCUAUGGAAAUCUGGUAUAGUACCGACAAGAUGGUUUUCUGUGAGAUUGACAUGUAUGAGAGAUCUACUAGUGCCUAGGGAUCUAGGAAUGAUACCUUCAAGGAUGUUCACUGAAAGGAUCAUAAACUGUAGCUGUCGAAGUGUGCCUAACUCCUCUGGAAUGCUUCCAGAGAAGCGAUUUUCUGAAAGGUCUAGCCGUUCAAGUGACGUAAGGUUAGCUAUCCAAGGAGAUAACUGACCACUGAGCUGUGCAGAGUUUAAGUUCAGGGAGACCACACGAGUUGGAAGAGUAAUACCGCAGGUGACACCUCUCCAGCUGCAGAAGCUGAUCGAGUGGUUCCAAGACGACAGGACCUGGCGCGGAUCACUGGUGAUGCUCUCCUUGAAGGAGAGGAGGGCCUGCCGGUCGACCUCGGACCCGUUGCUGAUGGAUUUUGCGACGGUGUUGGAGGACAUGAAGAUGAGAAGGUGGGUGAAGAGAAAUAGGAUGCCAUGUGUGGAAAGAGGGCGGAGAGUUCCUGCAGGUGCCAUGUCUAAUGCAGCGUAUCUUGUCUUGUGCGCAUUCCUUCUCUAUUAUGCAUCCCUCAGAGUAGACUUGGUGUUGACUUGCUUGUAACCUCCAUCACAGACCAACACCCCAGCGGUAGAACAACCUGUGGAUGGGAAUCGACAGGAUAAGGUGACCAAGACCCAGAAAGAGAUGGUCUGCAAAGGCUGGUCCGUCCAUGAAGUUGAUCCAACACUUGCGAUACUUUGCUAGGUGUGCUACUGACAGCUUGGGACCGGGAGACCGAGAGAGUUAGUCAGUGGAAAUUGUUGAGAAUGAAGGUCGGGUCUUCAUUUUGUCAAGAAGAUGGGCAGGGCAUUCCAACAAGCAUUUGGUGUUAUGGCAACAUGCUCUGCUUGAUUGGGAUGUGGUGGACUGGAGACUGGACUCUGUGUGGUUGGACCGACAGGAGAAGAGGAAGGGGGCACACAUGCUUACACGGCGGCGACCUCGAUUUUCGGCGUUUCGGCGGGCGGGCGUCGGCUCCACCGCCGCAUGCACUCCUCCGGCCUCGGCCAACAAGAGAAACAGAGGUAUGGCGAGGUGAACGCAGUCUGCGGCGUUCCCUUCACAGACUUCUGCUGCGUUGGAAGCUGGAACGGAGUGAGAGAGAAAAAGCAAUUCUGCCGUGCGCGAAUCCACCGUGGUUGCUUUGAGAUUCGUAAUACUUUUUUUUUACUGUUUUAUUAAAAUUUUGUCUUGUUUCAAAGUGUUACAUUGGAUUUGUUUUCUCUUGCUCCAUAGUGUAUGUUGAUGUUUCAUUAUGUAUCGUCCUGUUUGUAUCAGCUAACCUGAUCCAAAAGAAUUGUACUCCCUAUGUUCACAAACAUAAAAUGUUCUGGCUUUUUUUUUGUGAAUUGGUUGUAUAUAGACAUGUUUUAGUGUGUUUGUUCAUUCAUUUCAGCUCAUAUGUAGCUCAUAUUAAAAUAUCGAAAACAUCUUAUAUUUAUGAACGAAGGGAGUAGUAUACUUUUUUGUUGGUACAUAGUGAAACAUGAUACACAUUGAAACAAGAAAAAGAAAGCUACCAAAAUAUUUGAAACAAGAUAAAUGUUGACAGCAACCAUUAAAAGUUGCAUGAAUUUCAAAGCAACAAUGGAUGAUGGAUGCAUACACGGAAUAUCAUGUGCAUGGCAGAUAAACCACUCUCAGAACGGAGUGCAUUUGCCGUCAUUGAACUUGUAUCGUGAGCACACUUUGGUCACUGUAAAAAUGCUGAUUUACAACCAAAGACUCAAUGAGCAGUGUUCAGCCAGAUGUGGAUAUGGGACGGAUAAUAAUGUCAAAAUGAAAAUUCUGUUUUCAUGGUUUUCAGCCAGAAAAGGUCUGUUUUCGCAGGAAAUUUUUCCAGUGACUAACGAUGAUCCUGACUCCCUGCUUGUUAAUUUCGCUGCCCUGUCUACCAUCGACACUGGUUGCCAAUCACACGGCUAUUUUAACAGUUAUUGCGACUCUGCCAAUAAGGCAAAAAUAAAAUCCAAGCUAGUAAUCGCUUUGGUGAGGAGGGAACCAACAAAUAAAAAGCAUACCAUAUAUAGACCUAACUGUAACAAUUUUCUGUUCCGAUUGAGGAUGCUUCACUAAUCGAAAAAUGAACAGAUCACAAGAACUGAGAAGAAGUCACAAUCUUUGGAGCAAGAAGACACAAAGAGGAACUAGAAACAAGAAGCCAAGAGGCGCCCCCCAGCAAAUGAAACGCCGGCUCAGUUGAUCAACGCGACCAGAGCUUGUGAUGACUCUGAUGCCCUACAACCAAAGGUACGGAGUGCAGAUAUCAGUUUAACUGGCUCCUAGAUAUAUGCAUUUCAAGAUCUCAAGUAUUCACAACAGGCAAAUAUGGGCCCUUUAUCAACUAAGAUUGCUUAAGUUGCAAGAUGAAUUAAAGCGGCUAUAUCAUAACCGUCUCUAAACAAAGAGAAAUUUUCAUUUCCUUGAUGUUACAGAUACAUAGAUGAUGAAAGCAUCUGAUCAAGCAAAAAGCUCACAAAAGUACACAUGGCAGAAAAGCUAAGAGUAACUCUAGUAGCAAGUUAAGUCAGCCAUGCACUGUGAGGCUGCAUCGACGUUCUUCUACCUUUCAACCAAUUGAAUUCCAGUUAACAUCUCAUGGGGAUUCAGAGCUGAUGACAAUAGAGCAGGUGAUGAAAUAACUCUUGUGUGUUGUAUGUGCAUUUCCUGCUUCAUUAUAUGAGCUACACCAGUGAUGGACUGAUGAAUAUACCUAAUAGAUCUAAUUCUGCUACUUUAGUGUAGAAACAUAGCAUGUAUACUCGAAAGUUUAUUUACUUGGCAGUUAGGACAUCACGUAUAGAAUCUAGCGUCAUUCACUUCAGUGUAUAAACACCAUUCAGUAAAAUGGUAAAAAUGUAAUAUCCUGGAAGUAUAUUUCCCAACAAAUACUCCACAGUACUUAAGAUGUAACCACUAUAUAAUUGAAAGUAUAUAGAAGCUUCCAUUUCCUUGAUGUUACAGAUACAUAGAUCAUGAAACCAUCUGAACUGAUCAAGCUACAAGCUCACAAAAGUACACAUGGCAGAAAAGCUAACAACUAAAAAGGUGGAGCUGAUAUCAAGUUAAGUUAGCCUUAGCCAUGCAUUACAAGGUCGUCUUCUACUACCUUUCAACCAAUUGAAUUCCAGUCAACAUGUAAUGGGGAUUCAGAGUUUGAUGACUAUCAACAGGUGAUAAAAUAGCUUUGUGUGUUGUAUGUGCAUUUCCUGCUUCAUUAUAUGAGCUACACCAGUGAUGGACUGAUGAAUAUACCUAAUAGAUCUAAUUCUGCUACUUUAGUGUAGAAACAUAGCAUGUAUACUCGAAAGUUUAUUUACUUGGCAGUUAGGACAUCACGUAUAGAAUCUAGCGUCAUUCACUUCAGUGUAUAAACACCAUUCAGUAAAAUGGUAAAAAUGUAAUAUCCUGGAAGUAUAUUUCCCAACAAAUACUCCACAGUACUUAAGAUGUAACCACUAUAUAAUUGAAAGUAUAUAGAAGCUUCCAUUUCCUUGAUGUUACAGAUACAUAGAUCAUGAAACCAUCUGAACUGAUCAAGCUACAAGCUCACAAAAGUACACAUGGCAGAAAAGCUAACAACUAAAAAGGUGGAGCUGAUAUCAAGUUAAGUUAGCCUUAGCCAUGCAUUACAAGGUCGUCUUCUACUACCUUUCAACCAAUUGAAUUCCAGUCAACAUGUAAUGGGGAUUCAGAGUUUGAUGACUAUCAACAGGUGAUAAAAUAGCUUUGUGUGUUGUGUGUGAAUUUCCUGCUACAGCCGGGCUAGAUAAGCUACACCAGUCAUGGGGCUGAUGAAUAUACCUAAUUGAUGUAAUUCAGCUACUUCUGUGUUGAACCAUAGGCGCUCUACGUUCUACAACAAGCUUCCUAAGUUAGAUUUAGAAUCAGAAGCCACACCUCCACCAAUUGUUCCAAGGAAUUUUCUAGGCAUUACAUCAAACAUCUCACACAAAAAUUUACAAGGGAAUUUUCAAAUAUAGUGCAAAACACAUUCUAGAUGAACUUCUUGGAAUUUGUUAAGCAUGGCUGCAUUUCCCAAAUCAAAAUAUAGCAUAAAGCCAUGAAGUAUAGGCAAAAGACCUAACAGCCAGUCUGCUUAAACUUUUAUCAAACUGGACAUUAAAAACAAGACAGCUGCAACAGUUAGAACAGACUUAGGCCUUACAUUUCAGUAAAAUGUCAAAACAAUCAGUAGUAGUAAAAUUGAACGACUUCACUUAUUCCUACUAAGUCAAGAAAUCAAAGAUUACUACAUCAUUUGUACUGGAAUGAGGGUGCCAAAAACCACUCUAAAAUUUAUAAGAGAUUUUUCACAUAUAGUGCAAAAUGCAUUCUAGACAAACUUCUUGAAAAUAGCAAAGCAUAUCCUGAUGCCUGCACGCCCCAAAACUAAAUAUAUAGCAUAAAGUAUAGUCAAAAGCCCUACCUGCCCAUCAUACCAACAGUAGCUAAAUGAAAUCUGCUUAAGCUUGUACCAAACUGAACCUUAAAAUCAAGAUAGCUGCAACAGUUACAACAGCUUGCCAUAUCAUCAGUCACGGGAACCACAUUUAGAGAGUCCUUCCAUCGUGUAUUGCAGGCAUAUAUAUGUUCAGCAUUCAAAACAUUAUGCAACGCCAACUGAUUUGACUUAGGCCUUACAUUUCAAUAAAAGUAGUAAAAUUGAACAAUCACAGGAAAUUCUUCACUUAUUCCCAUCAAGUCAAGAUGCUACAGAUCACUACAGCAUUUCUAUUAAAAAGGAGGGCGCCAACCCUGCCGAGGCAUUGCGUCGAACACCUCACGCGCGUGCAGGCGGGCAUGCAGGCGAAAGGAAAAACAAACCGAAACACCACGGGGGGUGGGAACUAAC